AGCGCAGCACGUGUCGACAUCAAGAACCAAUCAUAACAUGACACAUGUCAAUGUGACAAAGCUACAAGUUUUUCUAUAAAUAGGGGCCAUUCCCCCACAAUAUUGGCUAAUGCCAUUUGUGUUAAAUCAUUCACAAGAACUCACUAAAUUGAGAGCUUGAUCCUUUGUACUUGUGUAAGCCCUUCACUACUAAUAAGAACUCCUCUACUCCGUGGACGUAGCCAAUCUGGGUGAACCACGUACAUCCUGUGUUUGCUUCUCUGUCUCUAUUCAUUUACGUACUUAUCCUCACUAGUGACCGAAGCAACCAAGCGAAGGUCACAAAACCUGACACUUUCUGUUGUACCAAAGUCUUCGCUGAUUUUGUGCAUCAACAGGAUUUUUUCUCAAACAAAAAAUCUUGAUGCAAUUAGAAAUGGGAACAAUUUGAUAUAAGUUGUAAUUUGUUUUGUGAGAUGAUUGAUGUAAAAUUUUUUACUUUAUUCAACACCAAACACUUAUCUUUAUUUCUCACAAUCUUAUUAAAUAAGUCAAAUAAAAAACAACAAUCAAAAGAAAAUAACGUUUAAACAAGAAUGUGUAAGAAUAGAAAAAAAGAUGUUUGGUUAUGAUUUUCCUUUCAAAAGUGAACAGUCCACCCACCAAGUUUAAUUAUUUCCCACUAUUCGUUGCUCACUCACGUUCACUUGAAUUAUGUGUAAGAAUAGAAAAAAGAUGUUUGGUUAUGAUUUUCCUUUCAAGACUGAAAGCAGUCCACCCACCAAGUUUAAUUAUUUUUCACCACCCACCAAGUUUAAUUAUUUUUCAUGGAGUAGGAUUUUCUCCCUUUAUUUUUUAAUCCUCUUUCAUUCCUUUCUCUUACCUUCUUCAUUUUAUCUUUAUAUUUUUAUAAAAAAAUUAAUAUAAGAUAUUAACAUGAUUUAAGUUUGAAUUAAUCCUACUCCAUUUACCACUAUCCGCCGCUCACUCACUUUCACUUGAAUUAUUUUGUUUAUGUGGUGUAGAAAGAAUGAAAAGAGAAAAAUACCCCCAAAAGAACCAAACUUUCAGAACUGUCUGUAUCCCAAAUGAGUCUUUGGUAUUGCUCUGCCAUUGCCAUUGGCAUUCCCUUCCACCAUUGACAUUGACGACAAACCCUUCAACUCCUCCAUACUCGCGUAGCUCUUCCUCGCCGUGAUCCCUCCGCUAUUGUUGUACCUCUCCUCCCCCGCGCUCACCGACUUACUCCCUAUCGAAUUCGACAAUAUCCCGUACGCUGCUUUCGCCAGACUCUUUGUCGGCAUGGUCAUCUCCUGCAUCAACGGAAACCUUGACGGCGGCUUGCGGUUCUCUUUUCGUAACACGGCUGAGAAAUUGGGCACCGAUUGAGCGAGAACGGAAUACCCUUUUCGCGAAUUGGUCAGAUGGGUCUUAAAUUUGACUUGUUUCUUCAAUGGGGUCAAUUUCGAUUCGGAUUCUUCGAGCUCCUCUAGGAUCAUGUACUUCCUCCUUAGCCGCGAUUCUCUGAGUUCCGCGUAGGCUUUGUAUCUAGGUCCUUUCUCCAUGGCGGCUCUCGGUGGUGAACCUCAAUGAACUGGAUGUUGAUAUGGGCUAGGGUUCUGGGAGGGACGUAGAACCCAGAUGGGUUGUAGGGAGUGGGUCCCAUAUUUAAUUUUUUAAUAUUUAAGGAGGUGUAUUCAAUUGGGAUUUUUAGAGAUUUUAAUUCUUUUAAUAAAUCUAGAGGUGUUCAAUCAAGAUUUUAAGUGAUUCUCUGAAAUUCAAGGUGUAUUCAAUUAGAAUUUUAAGAUAGUUUAUUAAAAUCCUUAGAAAUCCGGGUGCAUUCAAUUAGGGUUUUAAAGAAAUUUAUAACAUUCCAGUUGUAUUCAAUUAAAAAUUGAUUUUAAAGAAUUUGGGAAAGUUGGGGAAUUAGAAGGAAUUGAAGAGAUUUUGUAGUGUAUUUUAAGCAUCUACAAAUCUCACAUUUUUCCCUUAAGAUUUCGAGGAAAUUGAAUCAAAAUUUUAUAUGAAAUCUCCACAAAUCAAUUAAACUCCAUAAAAAUCCAUAAAUUUAUAAAUCCAUUAAAAUCUCUCAUAUUCUCAAUUGAAUACACCCCCUUAAUUAAUUUUUGAGUAAAGUACAAAAAACUACCUCAACUAUUGGUGUCAUGACACUUUCAUACCUCAACUUUUAAAAUUGACAAUGGCAUACCUCAUCUUACGAAUUUGUGCCAAUGUUAUACCUUUCGUUACCUUGGCGUGAAUUUCUCAGUUAACUGCUGACGUGGCUUGAUCCUUGACCCAUUUUCUAUUAAAAAAUUAUUAAAAACAAAAAAAAAUUAUUUAAUAUUUUUUAAAAUAUUAAAAUAAUAAAAAAGUUAUAAAUAAAUAAAAAUAAAAAAACAACUUUCAGUCCCCUUUCCGAUGUCCCUCCCCCCCCCCCCAACUUCUCUCUCUUCUCCCCAUCUUCAUCUUCUUCACCAUUCCUGCAAACCAAAAAAAAAAAAAAGAGAAAAAAAAAACUAAUUUGUCUUCCCCCCUCCCUACCCCCUUUUCUCCCCACACCCACUCUCCGCACCCAACCUCCCCACCUGGGGGAUGGACGAACUGGGUUUAUUUUAUUUUAUUUUUAUUUAUUUUUUCUUUUCUCCUUCUUCCUCUUCUCAUUCUCUUCUUCUUCUUCGGGUUGGGUUUGUGGUGAGCAGGGGUGAACUGGGUUGGGUUGAUUUUUUUUUUUUCCUUCUUCUUCUUCUUCGUCCUUCUUCUUCGUCCGUCUUCUUUCUGGGUUGCAGGGACGAAUAGUUUUUUUAUUUUUUUUUAUCCUUCUUCUUCUUUCUGGGUUGCAGGAAGAUGGGAGGGGGAGGGACGAACAUAGGGUUUUUUUUUCCUCUUCUUCCUCCUCCUUCUUUCUGGAUUGCAGGAAGAUGGGGAGAGGAGGGACCAACAAAGGUUUUUUUCUUUUUCUUUUUCUUCUUCUUCUUCCUCAUUCUUCUUCUUUUUGGGUUGCAGGAAGAUGUGGAGGGGGAGGGACGAGAGGUUUUUUUUAAAAUUUUUUUUAUAUAUACUUAUCUUUAUUAUUUUAAUAUUUAAAUAAUAUUAAAUAAUUUUUUUUUAGUUUUUAAUCGUUUUUAAUCAUUUUUAAUGAUUUUUUAAUAGAAAGUGGGUUCUGAAUUAAGCCACAUCAGCAUUUAACUGAAAAGUUAACGGCCAAGUAACGGAAGGUAUAACAUUGGACCAAAUUCUAAAAAUGAGGUAUGACAUUGUCAAUUUUAAAAGAUAAGGUAUGAAAGUGUCAUGACACCAAUAAUUAAGAUAGUUUUUUGUACUUUACCCUUAAUUUUUUUAAUCUAGUUGGGAUAAAGAGUGGGCCCUCUUUAAAGAAAUUGAUAGAAAAAUUAACAGAAGUCUAACAUUGUAACAAAUUCAUAAAAUAAGAUACAAUAUUGUAAAUUUUAAAAUAUAAGAUAUAAGAUUGUGGUUCGAUCUAUAAUUAAAGUAAUUUUAUGUAAUUUAUCCUAAAAAAUCCAAGAAAACCCAACCGGCAAGAAACAUAAAGCGACGGAAGAAUACGACCGAGUCAUCGCCACAGCCCACAGGAGCUAAUAAUCAAGAGGAAAUAGACAAAAAGAGAGGGGCAAUGGUUGGACAGGGGAGCCAUACCUGGACUUUUCUAUUGACUGGGGCAUGGAUUCACAUGUUACACAUUUUAAGAGGGAUUAGAAGGACUCAGAUCAUCUCCAAACGAAAUAUCAAAUUUUAAAUAUAAAAUUUAAAUUUGACGGUUUAUGUGUCAUUUUGAUAUUUUUCAAAAUUUUGCUCUUCAUCCGAUAUGUCAAAUUAAAUAUUAUUUUAUUACACUUUUUUUUAGCUUUUUUUUUAUUAAACUAUUAUUUUAUUACCCAUUUCGACAUCUUUCAAAACCCGAAUUUCUUCAUUUCACACCUUCAGCCAUGGAAGCUCUGCAAGCUUCCCUCCCGCAAGUCCCUCACACCCAGUUCGAACUACCUUCAGCCAUGGAAGCUCUGCAAGCUUCCCUCCUGCAAGCUUUCUGCUUUUCUUCUCUCUGUUCUCUCUCUGGUUUUCCAAAAUUCAAGCUUCGGUCUUUCUGGCUUCUUCGUUUGCUUUCAGUUUCAGCGUUUCCAAUAAAAAAAUUAAUAAAAAAAAUAUUUGAAGCUGCUAUCAAAUUUGACAGCAACCUCUUUGUUGCCAAUCCAUGUCAGCGCCACAUAGAAAUUGACAUUUCUGUUGGAGAAUACUAGUGUAGCCAUUUAUUACUGUUAUAACUUAUGUGGACAUUUUGACAUCUCCUUUAGAGAUACUCUCAUGUUGACAGAAAUUGAUGUCGGACUGUCGUUUAAGAGUUAAAGGAAUAUUACUAGACCUAAUUGGCGUUAAAAUUCUUAUUAAAAGCCGAAGUUUUCCUUAAAAUGUACUUGAAAGUGCUUUAUUAAGAAGCUUCUCCAAAAAGCACUUAUAUGAAUAAAAAACUUUUCUAACUUUUUCUACUGGGCUGGUUUGGUAUUGUUGUGUUUUGAAAAAAAAACUGCUUCUGCUGUUUUGUGAGAAUAAGCAGCUGUGAAAUAAAGCUGUAGAGUGUUUGAUAAACUUUUUUGUAAAAAUGCUUUUGAAAAAAAAAAAACAGUAUUGUAGUGUUUGGUAAACUUUUAUGUAAAACAGUUGUGAUUGUGUAAAAUGAUUAAAACUGGUAUAAUACUAGAUGUGCCAUUAAUUUAAUUUUCUUAACAAAUAAAGGUGAAUUACUAAAUAUGCUUUAUUUUUAAAAGAAAAAUAUUUAUAAACUUUAUCUUAAACAUAUAAUCCAACGUUUAACAAGAAAUCAUAAUCCAAUGUUCAACAUAUAAUCCAACAUUUAUGCUGUUUCACGUUUUCAACUUUUUUUUUUCACCCAAAACUAUGAAAAUAAGCUAUUUUUAAGUGUUUAUCAAACACCUUUUUAAGUUCAGUUUUUUUUAUACCCACUUUUUAUAAAAACACCUCAGUACCAAACCAGUACGUAGUUAGAAGUGUUUUGGCUUUUAGAAGAGUACCUGCUUAGAGCAACUCCAGCGUGCUCUUUAGCCCGAUUGACCGGUGAUUCCAAUCACCCAAUUGCCCCAGCAACUAGCUCCAGCGCAUGCGGGCAAUGAAGCUCAGGGGAGGCCCGGUGGACAGGCCAAGCAGGAAUCCAUCGCCCGAGAGCCUGAUGGCUGUGUGAUGUGUGGCUAACCUCAAGGUGACCCGGCUCGAAUUGGUCUAUUUUCCUUUGUUGGAAUCUGGAAAAAGAAUGGGAUGCAUCCAGGGAAUUAAGCCAUCGAAUUAAACCACAAGAAUUGCAGCACAACAUGAUUUAAAGCUCAAGAACACAAGAUAGUGAUAGAAACAUCACCUGGGUUCGAGAUUGAGAGCUCAAGCUCUCGGCUUCAAUGGUAGGACCUCGCACCAUGCACCGAUGCCGCAUGCAAGGCCAUGGUUGGGUUCCUUGCGUUCCAGGGAUUCUAAAAAUAUUGUUUUUGAGCUUGAUUUGUUAAAGGUUUGAAGAGGAAGGAGGAAGAGAGCUCACGAUAGUGAGCUAGAAAAGAGGGAGAGAGAAAGAAAAAGGAAGAGAGAGAAAGAAAAGAGAGAGAGAGAGGGAGAGAGAGGAAGAACCGGUCAAAUGAGGGGAAAAUGAGAAAGGGUGAUGGGGUGUAUGGAUUGGGUGUGGAAAAAAUAUUAAUAUUUUAUUGCCUAUUGUCAUAGCUGUUCAAUUUAGGGGUGGAUAUGCAAAAUACGGUUAAUGUUCAUUAAAGGUAGUUAUUGUUCACCGGGUGGAUUCAAUAGUGAGUUGUCCUAGGGGACCUUUGCAACGCUGGAGUUGCUCUUAAGGAAUAGCAUUAUGAAAACUCAAGGCCUCGGAUUUAUCAUUUGGCUAGCUAGCAGAACAGGAUCAAAAGGACCCAAAGAAGACCAACGGAGGCACAGGAAAGGGCACUUGAGAAUCAUGCCCAACCUACGCACUCCUGACCCAACCAUAUACAUGAUGUCAAAGGAACACACUGUAUCGAGUCACUUGAAUAUUUUAAAAACCAGGUAGAAGACAGUACCUGGAAGAGGAACUUUGAGGCUCAAAUCCACACACACACACAACUCUCAUUUCAUGAGCUACAGAAAAAAAGUCCCGUCGUUUCAGCUGCUAAGUCCAUACCCAAAUAUGUGCUCAUUUGCAAGAUCACCGUUCUCAGCACAUCAAGCUCAACAUGUUUGGGAAUGUGAGGUCAUGAUCGAUCGAAACUCGCUUCCCGUAACUUAACUGGAUCAUUUGCCAAUUCCCUGAAUCAAAGACAUAACUAAACUCAUCAAUCUGCAAAUAAAAUUUAUCUACAUGAGAACUUCGAUUAUCGAUUAAGUACAACAAAGGAACGUGUGCCUAUACCUCCGAAAAACCAGAAAUGUUCUCUUGCAUUCAAGAAUCCUAGCAGAUACCAAAUAUAAAUUUGAGAAACAACAAUAAAAAUGUUAACUACUGACUAAAGCUAUAGCUAGUAUAGGUUCUUGUUCAUCUUAGUGUAUAUUAGGUAAAUAUUUGACUAUAAAAACAUGUAUUUACCACAACAAAAAUAGACAGCUUUGUAUAUUUGAAUUCACCAUUUGUCAACCCGUCAUUUCACGAUAAGGGUUUCUAAUCACCCAUCCUUUUGCAACAUUUGUUUAUGAAGGGGCUUGCCUUAUAAUUUCAUAGAAAUCCAAUAUGUACGAAAAAAAAAAUAUGUACAUUGAACAAAGACGGAUUAAUGUAAAGGAUGAUUUACAACUCAUUGUGAAAAAUAGUAGUUCUAAUCUAUACAUUAACUAAGCAUCCUUAUCAGUAACAAAAAUGACUUAGAAGUUUGAAAUUGGACAUAGCUUGAAAGACAAAAUGCUUAACUAGCCUUAAAAAGCUCUAACCCAUGAUGACAUCUCCGAGCGAGACAAAGCUUGGAAUAUGGACACAUGCAUGAUUGAGGUCAAUGGAAGCUUGAAUGGCAUUCCAUCAACCUUGACACAUAGAGAGCCAAAUUUUCAAGGAAUAUAAUUCUGUCAGUUAAAAUCACAUAAGAAGAAGAUUUUUCCUUCCACUGUAAAUUUCACCACUCGAUGAAUAUGAUAAUCAAACAGUCGAUAAUUUCAAGCUCUUUGGUCCAAGACUCCUUAACACCAUAUUCCUUCAUCACCCUAACAUCUACAAUUUAUAAUGUGUAGGAACAAUUAGAGAGAGAACCUCUCAAGACUCCAAUUCCCAGAGCCAAUAGUCAAAACCAUUACCUCCGCUCACCAAAUUCUCCAUCAAAUGCUUUGUUUGGAUUGCUAAACCGAACAACUUUAAAGACACCACUGAUGGGACUAAACCCAACCCACAAACAGAAGGACCAAUUUCUUCAUUUUAAGUAGGUGUUGGAACUUGGAAGAGUUGAAUAUCAGAGUGCGCAACGAACAAGACUAACAAGAAUAAAAAUAUUAUUAAACAAACGAGAAUGCCAAAACGGCUACAAAACCCUAAGAUGCUACAUUGUGACUAACUUGAUUAUUCUAUAGAGUUACAAAGUACCAUAUAUAUAGAAAACUAAUCUAACCCUAAUAGGCAAGGAAACGAAACCCUAAUACUAACGGGCUAAGCCCAAAAUACCAAACAUUAAAAUAAAUCUAAAUAAUAAUAUUUUCCAACACCCCCGUCAAACUCAUGGCGGUACACGACAUGGGUUUGCCAAAGUAGAUGUGGAUGCAAGACUCCAAAUUCCAAUGCCAAUGCCAAUGCCGAUGCCGAUGCCAAUACCGAUGCCGAUGCCAAUACCAAUGCCAAUCCGAAUACCAAUAUCAAUACCAAUAUCCAUGCCAAUACCAAUACCAAUACCAAUACCAAUAUCAAUACUUCUUUCUUGCCCGUGUGGGCACAAAGUCAAAACCUCAAAAAACAAAGCAUUUUCUUCUAUUUCCCUUUUGUCUUUUUCCUCCUCCUUUUCCUGUUUCGUUUUUCCUUUUUUUUUUUUUUUUUUUUUUUUUUUACAGUCUUCUCCGCAAAGAACCUGCAAAACACAAGAGUGCAACGAUGCAGAGUGCAGGAACAUGAAGGGUGCAGAUGCUCCAGAUGCAGUUUAGACUACCAACAACUAAUAUUGAAAUCCAAAAACAAACAAACUGAUACGAGCAAACAGAAGCAGAUUAAAUCCCGAAGGAUCAAACCUGCUCUAAUACCAAGUUGAAUAUCAGAGUGCGCAACGAACAAGACUAACAAGAAUAAGAAUAUUAUUAAACAAACGAGAAUGCCGAAACGGCUACAAAACCCUAAGAUGCUACAUUGUGACUAACUUGAUUAUUCUAUAGAGUUACAAAGUAUCAUAUAUAUAGAAAACUAACCUAACCCUAAUAGGCAAGGAAACGAAACCCUAAUACUAACGGGCUAAGCCCAAAAUACCAAACAUUAAAAUAAAUCUAAAUAAUAAUAUUUUCCAACAGGAAGUGCCAAAGAUUCACCAGUAAAUGGGAUUAGAUAAACAAAAAAUGGCCGAAGUUAGGUCUACCAUCGUAUAGGCACAAGAAGCCAUUGCAAGAACCCACAAUUUCGACUGCGAACCCGUACUCAAUACUGGAGUCUCUAGAAAGCCUCACGACAUCGCUGUGUUGGGUUAGAGUGCUCGUCGAGGCCAACCACGAAGUGACCUAUCGACUUGGCACAAGGGGCGUUGAAGCAAUGGAGCAAAAUGCAAGCCGGUGCUUGUGAAAAUAGGGACAUGGUGAAGUGGCGGUCUGAGAGCCAGUGGACACUCGUCUGCAUUGGGUGAGCGUCUUGGUUGAGAUCUCUAUUAUUGUGUGGCUGGAAAUUGCGGAAUGUACAAUGUGGGGUUUCUUCUCAUGUUUCUUUAUCUUCUUCUUUUGAAGGUUUGUUAGGGAAAUUUGCAAAAUUAACCAAAUUUUAGACCCUAUAUAUUGAAUUAUUGCCACCGUUUUAAGUUAAGGAUCAUUAUAACCAAAAUUUUACAUGAAAUUACUAACAUACGCUUAAAAUGAGUUUUCCCAUAUAACCAAAAUGAAAAAAAUUUAAAAUUCAAGCUCAAGAAAUGUUCAUUCAGAUUGAAUAUGCCAUGUUGGUCGAAUCUAGCCAGAAAACUGUCGUUCUCCGGUCACAUAGCAGGGAAUUCGAAACCCAUAUAGUCAAUCCUUGCCAAAGUUGUUUAUUUGAGAAAAAAAAGAAGAGGAAUUUAGCUCCAAAAGCAAAGCAAAUCAACGAGCUUUAUAGGAUCACACAAGCAAUCAUGGAUAGCAUCGUUGACACUAUCAACUCCGCAACCAUCGUCAUCUCAACCGAAGCUAGUGCCCAGCCCACCACCGUCUUUGUAACUCUCUCUCUCUCUCUCUCUCUCUCUAGUGCAUACAAAUCUUUAUGCAUGUGUGCUUUUUUUUUUCUCUUCUCAUUUGCACCAGAAAAGUAGAAUUGCUGCAUUUGUAGAAGCUUGAGAAAGGCUUAUCAUCCCUUGACGCAGUGCAUUAGGGACUGAAAUGUGAACAAACAAGUAAAAGCAGGAAAACUAUCAAAUAAAAAAUCCACAUAACACAAAUUGAGAGAAGAGAUAUCAACUAAUAUGACUUUAGGGUCCUUGUUAUACUCUGUUUGGUUGCUGAGAAACUCUGGGAAUCUAAAACACACAUAUAUGGACAGUUGGAUUUUGCGUUCUUACUCGUAUUUUCAAUCCUAAGAAUGAAAACUAUCAACGUUUGAGUGUUUUUGUAGGAUUUUUUUUUUGGUUGUGAUAAGAAAACUCAUUUUAAGAGUAUACAAAUACUUUCAUAUCAACUUUUAAUUAUAAUUAUCAUAAACUUAAAAGGGUGACUAUAAUUCUAUAUAGAGUCUCAACUGUUGCUUAUGGUUUCAAUUGUUGUCGUGUAGAUAGGGGGGAGAGUUCAAUUUCCUAUUUUUUGAAUUUUCACAGAUACCGUUUUCAUUAACUCACGAGUCUUUUUUAACCCAGUUUCACACUAAACCCUUUCUGAUGAAUUCAUUUUCAACCGUUCAAAUUUAAUCCUAUGGUCUACAUCCCAUCUGCACACACUGUCCGCAAAGCUCCGUUUGCACCUUAGAAAUCGCCCUCUUUAUAAACUGGCCUGGCCUACACGGCACAACCCAAUUCCAGGCCAAAAUUGCAUAAACCCAACUCCUUUUAAUUGUUUUCAGAAGAGUGGUAGUUUUGUAAUUAAAUGGAAAUAAAUGGAAACGUAGCCAAUUUGACAGUGCUUAUGAACAAUGCCAAACUCCCCUCAAUUUUAAACUAUAGUAAUAAUUCCUAGUAUUGGUGAAUCAUAUGAUGGUGGUCAGGAGAAGACUGAAAGUCUUCUCGGCCCUUGGAAGAGAGGAUUGUCGUGGUGAAACCACCAGUUAGUCCAUUUUUUAAAUAAAAUAAAAUAAAAUUUUGGAAUCAAACUUCAUUCAUUUUCCAAGUAGUCCUAAACUACUGAAAAAUUGGCAAAUGUACCAUUUUCCGUUGAGAUGUAGAUUUUACCCCUUUUAGAUCUACUCCAACCCUUAGAGUAAAAUUCAAAUUUUAGGUUCUAAACCUACCCCAAUUUGCUCCAACCCAUAGGGUAAAUAUGAGUUGUAACCCAUAACUCAUUUCUGGGGCAAAUUUAGGCCAGGAUUCCCUUUGGGUUAGUAGGGUUGACCCACCAAAUAUAUGUAUUUUUUUUUAGUUUUAUUUAUAAAUUCAUUAAAUCUAACCGUUAAGAUCUAAUAUGAUCAAAUCUAAUUGUAAAAAAAAAAAAAAAGAUUUAACUCUCCAAAUUUAGACCCAACGGCUAAAAUAAUUAAAAACAAUUGUUUUUUCAUAUUCUUUCAUAGUGUCUGAUGAGUUUCAUGGUGUCAGUUUAGUAAUUUUUCAAUAUUUGUCGGAAUCUAAAUAUUUUUAGGUUAAAAUGUUCAUAAAAUUAAAUUAGGAUAGUCUACAAAUAUAUAUAUAUAUAUAUAUAUAUUUAAAGUUACUUUAAGAAUCCUAAAUUCAUUUUUUAAUAAUCUCGGACUAAAAAUUUAACCCAUAAGAGUUAGAGCAGAAAACAUAUUUCUAGGUUAAACCCUAAAUUUUUUGGGUUAAAAAUUUAAACACGUCGGUUCUUGCACUAAUGCUAGCUAGAAACAGCGCAUUAGCUACGUAGUCCUUGGACAACAUCUUAUUUCAUAGAAAUAUUUCAUAUUCAUGACAAUACCUAUGUGUUAAAAUUAAUAGGGUUUAUUUGUCCUAUUGUAUAAAGGGAAUUUUGUCCUUUCAAGUACCUAUAUUUUUAGGCUAAUAUGUAAAGAGGCUGUUGACUUAUUUGAUGCAUGGUUAAUUUAUUUGAUACAUUUAAAAAAUAAAAUAAUUUUUUAUUCAAAUGAUUUUUUGUCAAGAUAAUAUUUAAAGAAAGAUUAAGAAAUUGAACGGUUCUAAUUAUAAAUUUUCUAUGGUAAAAAUACGUAUUUGCAAGUAGUCAUGAAUAGCUCAUCCCCGAAGAGGGGAAUGCAAGAGUAUUAUUCUUUAUUUAUUUCAUUGAAAUUAUUACAAAUUCAUGACAAUACUAAGCGUCAAAAUUCAUAAAGUUUAUUUCUCCUUUAGUAUGAUAUAAAGGGAUAUUACAUAAUAUCCUUUCUAGUUCUAUUUUUAGGGUGAUGGACAGAAUGUAAUAACGUAGUUUGGUCCACCGCUGCAUGUAAAGGUGCUGUUGACAUCAUCAUAAGCGUAGCUAUAAGCCUGAGGGCACUGGUCCUCAAAGAUCUUAGAGUAGUCUGUGGGUGGACAUGUAGCUGGUGUGUCAUUAGGAGGAGUGCAGCAGUAUUGUGGUUGAUUAAAUUGUGUACACGCACUCUUGCAUGCAAUUACGCUCCCAUCGGACCCCUUCACUUGCAGCUCAGCUGGGCAAACAGCGUUGACGUUGGCGGGGCAAGAAGAGGUCUGGCAGUCGCCCGUGCCGCCUUGUGGGGCAACAGACACGGGCAAGUUGAAGCCAUCAACAAGACUUACGUCGUAGAAAUCUUGGCCUCCGUUUGCGACAAUAUUUAUUUCGACUAGGCUUGCUGGUGGAACUGCUCCGUUACCGUUGCAUGUGACUUGGCCAGAGCUACACUCUGCUGUGGCACAACUGAACUUUCCUGAGGCGUCAGUGGAGCAUCCGGUUCGGCCCCAGAAGCGGCCUUUCCAUGGGACUGGAGUGGUCAAGGAACUGCUAGCGCCGGAUGCUAACUCGAACCCUGUGGAGGAUAGUUGUGGUUGUUGAUCGGAGGUUAGGGACCCUGGCCAUACGGUAUAGGGGCAACUGUUGGUGAAGGUGAUCGUAGCUGCAUGUGCACCUACAUGCCAAUUGUAAACGAAUAAUCAUAUAACCAUUAUGUUAACAAAAAAAUAUCUCUAUAUCUCUAUAUAUGUGUCUAUGAUGAUGUUACCAACUAUGGAUCAAUUUGAACACAAAUUAAUAACGUUCAAACAAAACAAAAAUCAUCAGUUUAAAAUUUCAUGUCUAACAGUUUAACGAUCGAUAUAACAUUUUUCAUGAAUCAUGACACGUACCAGAUCACAUACAAAUAACCGUAAACAAAAAGAACAGAACAAGUCAAUUUGUUUACCUGCGAAGAAGAUGGCUAAGGUGAGACUGAGGAUUACUUGGUUGUUCAUCAUGAUUAAGCAAUCACUUCUUCAAUUUGCUGCCAAAUUAAUUUGGUGAUGAAAUGAUGAAGUUGGGAACCGAUGGGCCUUUGGUUUUAUAGGCAUAAGCGCAUACCUAACUUUAGACUUUUUUAUUUUUGCAUGUCUGCUACAUGAGGAUCCACGUUACCACUAAUAAGUGAUGAGACGACUUGUCUUAAUUAUGGCUUUAUUAGGCGUAUUUGGUCCCUGGACUGACCCCUAGCAAGCUAUUUCCUCAUUCAACCCAAGACAUUUCUCCGCAAAAAUGCCAAACAGGAGUUAAGUGGGACAAUUUGAGUUUACAGGGUAAAAUGAGAAUGAACUUGAGUUUCAGGAAGCGUCAGGAUAAAGCUUAUUUCUUAUAAAAAAAUAUAAGGAUUAAGUACCUAGAACUCCUCAAUCUUUUAGUGUCAUUUCAAAGUAGUCCCAACCUUUUUAAAUAUUCCAAACAAGUAACUAGUCUAUUGAAAAUUUCAGAUCUGUUAAGCAUCAGUUAAAUUUAUGUUAAAUUAACUACAACUUACAUUAGGUUCAUUUUCGAUCCAAUUCAAUACCUGUUAAAUCAUUGGGUUCCAUAUGUUUGAAAUUUAGAUUUUGAAGUAAAUAGUAUUAGUGUUGAUCAUGAUAUGCUCUGUUGGUGGGUUUGAAUAUAAACGCAGGAAUGGAGUUUCAAUGGUUGUAGGUUGAGCUUGAAGGUGAUAUUUGGGAAUUUUCGAUUACGUGAAUAAAGGUAAUACGCCUUCUAAAAACAAAGAAAACAACAAGCUAAAUAAUUUACAGUAACGAUGUGAUUCUCGGUUAUUGAAACUGUAAAACAACCGAUGUCGGUAUUUGCUGAUAUCAUUGCUACCAUUCUACGUCACCAGAGAACUUUCAUUGUCAAAACACAGCUGGUAUGGCUUCAUAAUUGAAUUCCCAUAAAAUGCCAAACUUUAUAUGGUCAACAACACUGCCGUGAUGGACGGGCCUAAAGGCUGCAAGUUAUCGUGCAUGAGGGGGUUAGGCUAAGGAAUUAUGAUUUGAAGACUCACACAGCAGUGGAAUAUUCCACAAUAUUAUUACUUAUUAUUCUUCAUUUCUGGAUUACAAAUUUCACAGCUACUCAAUGGCGAAGCCAGGAAUUCUCGGAGGAAGGGGCGAACUUAAAAGAGUGCAAGAUUAAAGAAAAAUGACAAUAAACAAAUCUUUUUAUAUAGUAAUGUCUUCUAUAAUUAAUCAAUACAAAGGAAGAGGACUACCCAAAAUACCCAAAGGAUGACUACUCGGAGGAGGACUGCUCGAAAUAUUUGAAGGUGGAGGAGGACUACCCGGAAUAUUUGAAGGAAGAGGAGGACUAUCCAGAAUAUUUGGAGAAGGAUUUAAACACUGUUUUUUAUAGCAUCGUUCCAUUACGUAAUUGUAUAAUGAAAGAAAAAAAAUAUAUCUUAGACUCUUAAUCCUAGAGUAGACUAUAAAGUAAUAUAUAAUCAAACCAAGAAUUUAAUUAAUCAAUUCCAACAAUCAUAUGAAUAAUCAAGAAUUCAAUUUUUAUUCUAAACAACAACUGGUCAUUAGGGUCUUUUAAGUAAUUGAGUAAGUUGAUUAGGGUUUAUAGUGGUUACGGUAAUCAAUUUUUUGUCAUUUGCAAAGCUGCAUUUUAUUUAGGGUUUUAGUUGGUUGAGUUGGGGUUUAUUAUGUUAAUAUAAAUAUGAUGUAAAUGUCUUCACCAUGUUCAGCUGUUUUUUUUCUUGCUAGACCAUGUGUGUAUUCAAGUUCCUAUAUAUAUAUAUAUAUAUAUAUAUAUAUAUAUAUCCUCUUUUAUGUACUUCAAAAAAAAAAAAUCAAUAAUCAUCAUAGUAUUCAUAUAAAUAAUUUAUAAUCAAUAACCAUAUAAUGUAUUACCCUAUAAUCUUAUAUCAAUUAAACAAAAAUUCAGAUUCACUAAUCUAUUAGGGUUUGAAAUAAAUAUAAAUUUAAACAGUAAUAUAAGUAAAAUCAAGUGUUCAAUAACCUAUGCUACCACACUAGUCAAAGUCGCCUAAUGGGACUUGUACGAUUGAACCUAUUGCUCAUCAAUCUAUGCUAGCACAUGAGUCGAAGUCGCCUAAUGCAACAUGUACGACAGAGUUUGGUGUAAUCAUAAUAUACGCUCUAGUGCUACGAUCACGUGAAGACUGGCGCUAUGCGCGGUCACCUACGAGUCGGAGUCGCCUAAUGCGACCUGUAAGACAUGACUGACACCUACUUGGAUCCAAGGUGAGUGUGCAAUGCGGGAGGUGAACAUACAUGUGAAGCACUUGCUCUGGCCCGAGGCGAGCACUAACACCGAGGGGCAGCAAUGAUGAGCAGACUACAUGAAUAUAAGCAUGCCAUAAUGAUGCAAUAAUUCUAAUCAACAUAAUAACAUUCAUAGCCGUAGAUAUAAUUAUGGCAUCAAAGAUUAUAAGCAUACCUAUGCAUCUCGUAGGAUGUAACACGUUUCAUAAAUUCCGUCAUUUCGCUAAUUUUUAUAAACUUUAGUCUAAUCCAGGCAUAGGUAAGAAAUUCUUUUUCAAAUGCAUAAUUGGAAACUAUCAAUCAUAUAUAUACUAUAAAAAGGAAAAGACCCACUCACCUGAAGUCUGCGUUACAACUCCCUAGCACGAAUAUCGAGAUGUCUCGAACAAUCGGCGCCUAGAACAAUGAUCAAAUCAUGUCUCAGAAUUAUUAUCUAUAGAACACGUAACUUACAUAAAAUGCAUCCAAACAGAAUUCUAGAAUGAUUGCUAACCCAUUGACCAAAAGUGAACCAUCGGUCAAAGGUAGAAGGUAGGGUCCACAACCCUAGGUAACUCGAUCAGGAAGAUCCGCACCCUGAAUUUCCAAUCCGUAACUUCCCAAGAGUUUCAAUAAGCUUCCAAAACAACAUCCUAAAGUUUCGGAACGAUCUAAUGGUUGGAUCUUCGCCAAUCGCUAAAAUAAAGUGGCAGUUGACGUUUUAUUUUACGAACUUACAAAUCCAAUUCGGGAAGAUCCAUACGUAGGAUUCCCGAUCCGUAAGUUUCUAAUAUCUUCAAAUAUUAUGUACUAUAACGUAUUAAAGUUUGGUGAUGAUCCAACGGUCAAAUCGUCGAAUCAUAAAUGGUCAAGUGACGUAGUAUUCCAUACUAGGUUCAAACUAUCAAACUAUAACAAACGGUUAUCAAAUUGACAUAAAAUUUGACUCAAAAAGGCAGCGUCAGCCCACUAGCCAUGCUCUGCCGUACAUGGCGGUCGGCCACCCCGACUCGCCGGAAAAUUCAACUAAUUCUAAAAAUUCUAAAAUUUUACUAGAAUGAAAAUCUCAAUGAGUAGAUCAAGUUUUAUACCUGUGGCCAAGUCCAAUUUGGCCGGAAAAAGCUUCAAAUCUCCACGAACCCGCCGGAAACCCUAGAAAAUGGUGGUUGUCGAUUCGGCUUCUUCGGUGCUCCGCUGCUCCAACCAAGCCUUGAGACUGUUCCUAGGUUCAAGAGAAUUCAACCCAUGGUGGUGGUCGACGGAGUUUGUUUCAGAAAUGGUUGAUCGCUGCCGUGAGACCCUCGGCGCCACUCACUCGGUUCCUCAUGAAACUAGGGCUAUAAGCUGUCGAGUUUGGGUGGGAAUUGAAGAGGGAAGAUCGAUGAGUUAGGUGAUGGUGUUGGAUGGCUUCAACAUGCCGGAAAUCCGACAAAAAAAGCAACGGAAAAGUCAAUAGAAACUUGGUCAAAACCCGGGUCAGGUGAGGGUCCGAGUUGGGUGGUCUCAUCUCUUCUCUCCCUUCCAUCCUUUCCUUAUUUCUGAUUGGUCACUCAUUUUUCUUCCUUUUUCCCGAUUGGAAUAGUUUUCUCGCUAUAUGAGCGUGAAAGUUCAACGAUCAAAAGAUGCCUUCUCGAGCUAAAAGCUUGUCUAUUCUUUUCAUUUGUGCAUCUGGGCUUGUAGUUGCGUUGCAAGCGAUUCUCUCUGUCAGGCAUACCUGAUAGUGUCCCCCAUUUUGUUUCGCUUUUGAGCGAAGUCCUUAUUUCUUUUAUGCAAUUUUAUUUCUUCUAUAACAACAUGAUGUUUUCCCCCUUCUAUGGUUGCUCUCCCUCUCUCCCGCCAUUCUCUUCCAAUUGGGCAGCAGGCAUCUUUUUCCUCUCAUUCUCUUUCCGGUUGGCCAAUACUCCCACUCUUUUCUCUCAACUAAUAAUAAAAUAAUAAUAAUAUGAUAACAAAACAAUUUCAAAAUAAUAAUAUAAUAAUUAUGAGAAAUAUAUAAGAUAAUAAAUAGUAAUCUUUACAAGGGUACUUUUUCGAAUUUGUAGUUCUGUAAAAUUUUAACCGUAACUCUAUAUUCGCUUCCGCUUGCCUACGCGUCCGUAUCGUUGAGUACUUCAAGAAUAUGAUAAAUAAUAGCCCAUACGCUUCACGAAAUGAUGGUCAACUGGAGUCAACGAUCUCGCCUCUAAGGGCAUUUUCGUUAAUUCACUCAUUUAAAAUUUAUAAAAACAUAAAAUUAGGGAUGAGUUAUCACAAAAAAUACGUUUGCGCCUUGAAUUGGGUUGGAAAAAUUUCCAAAAUUUUGGGCGAAAAGAGUGACCCAAAACAAAGUCGUAAUUACCAUUACCAUACCAUGCCAACAUAACUAUUUGGCAUGCCAACAUAACUAUUUGGCAUGCCAAAAUUCGGUAUACCAAAAGUUUGGCACAGUAAAGGUAAUAGGUUUUGUCAUACCAAAAGUUUGGUAUGGUAAUUGGUACAUGGGUUUUGGUACAAUAAUCGUACCAAUACCACCCUUAGUGUUAGUUGAAGGUCGUAACAGUUGCAGUGGCAAAUUUUGUAAUUUUUAUUUUUUUUAAAUGCAUUUAAGUAUCAUAAUACAUGAUGAACUUUUUUUAAAUGUAUUUAAGUAUCGUACCAAUAACAUAAAUAUUGUUGAUAUAUUGUCAAUAUUGUAACUUUUUAUUGAUUUUAUACAAAAUCACCCUUUUAUUUAAGAGUAAAUUGUAGCAAUGGUCCAUGAACUUUAAUCAAAUGGGAGCAAUGGUCCCUCAACUAAAAAUCCAUUACUAUUGGUCUCUCAACUUAUCAAAAUGUGUAGCUAUAGUCUUUUUCAUCAAUUUCUUCAAAAUUUUGUCAAAAUAUGUAAUAACCAUUUAUAUAAUUAAGGUCCCUCAACUCAUCAAAGUGUGUAAUUAUGGUCCUUUUCGUCAACUACGUAAAUUUUUUUGUCAAAAUGAGUUAUGUUGGAAGGACCAUUGCUACAAUUAGGUUGAAGUUAAGAGACCAUUUCUCCAGUUGAAUUAAAGUUGAGAGACCAAAGGUAAUGAAUUUUUAGUUGAGGGACCAUAGCUGCACGUUUUGAUGAGUUGAAGGACCAAUGGUAAUGGAUUUGUAGUUGAAGGACCAUUGCUCCAAUUGAGUUAAAGUUAAGGGACCAUAGCUACAAUUUACUCUUUAUUUAAUUGAAACUAAUUUAUAUCCCACUUGAUGAACUUUUUAUGUUCUGAAAAACUUAAACCAUUCAAUUGAAUUAGAAUGCGUGAGAUAUAUGAAUGUUUAGAGGUUAAAACUCUUGAAAUCUUGAACUUUUUUAUUUGUGUUGAAUAGAUUUAGACCGACCAAACUAAACCGAGUCAAGCUAAUUAACUAUGGUUAGGUUUGGUGUAGUUUUAAUGACGGUAUUGGAGGUACAGAACCAAACUGAACCUUUGAGAACUAAUUGAAUCGGCUUUUUUUUUUCUUAUGUCAAACUGAAUCAUACCAAUCCGUACCACCCCUAAUUUAGGAUGUCAACGAACCAGGGUUAAUAAUUUGGAUCCGUGGAAAUGCCCUGAAUCCAAAUAUGGAUGUUGCUCGUAACUGGGCUUUUGCUAGUUCAAAGAAAUAAAUACAAAUAGAAUCGGAGAGGGUCAUUUUCCGGUUGACGAGAAUUUGUCACUUUACGCCGCCUAGCACCAGGCGCCAAUUGCUAUUUAGAUGAGUGUGGUAGUUGAGUAAUGCUAUACUUACCGCUAGUUGUACAAUUAUUUAUAUCAUUUUUUUAAUAGAGAUAGGAAUCCACCAACGUAUAUAUGUCUCAUCUCUCUAAUAGAGAUAAGGCCCGCCAACACAUGUAGGUCUCAUUUCUAUUAACAAAAUAGUAUAAAUGAUGAUAGAACUACGUGAUAAAAGUAGCAUUUUUGUAGUUAUUAUGAUUUCGUUUAAUUAGUUAGUCUGUUAGACAAAACAUUAACUUUUCUAUAUAACAAAGGGGAUAAAACUUGGGUACUGUCUUGUCAGUACCAGACUGACUUAUUAGAUGGCCCAAUAAUUGUCUAAGGGUGAGUUCGGUAUGGUUACCGUACCAAAAUUCUUGUACCAAUUACCGUACCAAACUUUCGGUUUGGUAAAAUCUAUUACCAUUAUCGUACCAAACUUUUGGUAUAAUGAAGUUCGGUAUUGCCAAAAGUUCGGUUGGCAUGGUAUGGCAAUGGUAAUUGCCUUUGCCAUUUUGUUUUAGGACAAAAUCUGUUUUUGUUUUUUUAACCCAAUUCAAGGGCAAAACUUUUUUUUUGUAUCUUUAUCUCAUACAUUAUAGAUUAAAUUCAUCUAUUAUUCAUCAUUCACAAUUCACAUACAUAAUAAUUCAAAUGAUGCAUCAAGAUUCAUCAUGAAAAUUAAGCUUACAAUCCAAAUAGAAGUUAACAAUCCAAAUAGAAAUUAAAGUUUCAAACCAAAUGAAAAUUGGAAGUAAACUUCAAAAAGGAGAAUUCAUUGAUCAUUUAUUCAAGUUUGGGAUGUCGAAGCUUUUGGAGAAGGCAUUGAACUUGUAGAAGAUUGAAUUUGUGUCAAGCCUACAUUACAAACUAAAAAAACAUAUUAAUUAGUAGCAAGAAGAAUUAAAGUUGAAGACCAUUUAAUAACAAAUUUACUAAAAAAAUUAAAGCAUAUCUUUCUUGUUUUCUCUUCUUCCAUUUCUUUGUAAAAUCGAAGCAUAUCAUCUGUUGGUUCCUUGUAGAAGUUUACUUCAUUUGCCCUUAAGCCAACCACUAGUACGCACUAGUGCCUCCAUUAUUUUAAGAGUCAAAGAUACCCUAAAAGGGUCCACAACCCUCCUCCCUAGGCUAAAUGCAUUUUCACCAGCAAUAGUAGAAGUGGGGGUUACAAAGAUAUUAUGGCUAUUUGUGAAAGAAUUAGGAACUCUUUUGUGUUUGAUUUCUUUCCACAAUUUCAAGAGAUCAAAGUCACACACAACAAUGCUAAUAUAAGUAGGGUUUUAUUUUCAAAUUAUUGGAAUAUUAUAAAUAUGUGUUAUAUAAUUAUCUAUUAUAUAAUUUAUAAAUUAUAAAUUGUAUUACAUUUUCGGUAUGGUACGGUAAUACCGUGGUAAUGGUAUCCAUUACCAAUACCGUACCAUGAAAUUUUGGUACGGUAUAAUACCGUACCAUUACCGAUUGGAACAAAAAUUUUGGCAUAAAAUCGGUAUUGUACCGGUUGGCAAUUCGGUUGGUACAGCAAUUUAGCAAAAAAAUCCACCCCUUGUCCACCACCUGUCUUUAAAACUCACAUCCAAAUUCUUGCUAUCCUGAUAACCAAACACCUAUCUUCUUCCUCCCUUCCCUGUGGCAGCCGCUCCGUCAAUCCCAACCUCUCUCCUCCGUCAUCGUUAUUCCUCUGCAAACCCAACCAAACUAUCGCCCUUUCUCUGCAAAUUCGACAAAACCAGUGCACCAACCAAAACCAAUUCUUACAGGUGCCAUGAAUUCGAUUACUCAACGAUUUCAUAAGAUACAAUUAAUCAUCGGUUCUAAAGCUGAUGAACGACGGUGGCUGUUGGUGGUGGGUGAGGACGGUUGUCGAAGGUGCAAAAGACAACAAAGAUGGCGACUCCCAUCUCCAUAUGGGUCUUAUUUUGUUCAUCUUGAAAAGAAAUCAUUUUUUAUUUAAAUUUGCAAUUAUGAUGAAUGGCAGCCAUGGUGGUGAUUGGAAUGGGCGAAGGAAGAUGAAGGAAAAAGAGUGAAAAAGUUGCAGGGAAGAAGAAACGAGGUGUUUGGUUGUGUGUUUCAAGGUGUAUGGUUGUGUGAAUUAUGGGAAAUCAAUUUCAGGUGACCGAAGCUAAGUAGUCUUAAAUUAGUCCAUAUUAUUUUCGUUAAUUGUUUUUAGCGGGUAUUCGCCUAGACCCCCCCCCCCGGCCCUUUCCCCGUGUUAGUUUUAUUUUUUUUUUUUCUUCAUAUUAUUAAUAAAAUCUUGUAGAGGGGGACGGGUGGGGGGUUUCUGGGUGCAACGGUCCUUUCUCUUUUGGAAGAGGAUUGGUGCCUCGUACGCAACUGUUGACGAAGAGCUAAUCUCACCUAAUCCGUCUCUACAAAAAAAUUUUUUUUUUUUAAAAAGUGUAUGGUUGUGUUUAAGAGAAUUCUUAGAACACAGGUGUCCUCAGUUUAGUGGGCCACAUAAGCAAGUCAGCAGUGGAAUUAUUUUGAUUACGUUAACGUCUCACUGACUUCGUAGUUUUCUCUGUAUCCAAACACUCUCAUCAGUUCGGUUUUUUCAUUCUUUUCAUGGUAUCAGGCACGAUUGUGCCCCGCAGUUGUUGAUUACAAUCUUCAUUGUCUCUAUUUCUCUUCAGGUUCUUCAUUUAUCCGUCUCUAAUUUUGAUUGAGACUGAAAAUUGCAGACAACUACCCCCGUGCCCAUCGGGUUCCCAAUAAAUGUCUCUGCAUGUUGAUUUUCCAAGGAGGAAAGAGGUAAUUGCAUAGCAAACAUAACAUUUUUUUCUUAUGUUUGAAGAAAAACUACAUGCAUGCGGUAAGUACAUAAUCUAAAUUGCAGAGCCGUCUCAAUGCAAACUUAAUCCUAAGACGAAAAUAAAAUGAGGUUUUUCUAAUUUAGUAUGUGGUUUUUUUAUAGGCUAGUUAAAUUAUAAAACUUUUCAAUUCAAUCCACCACCAUCUCCACACCAAAGUAAAUUUAACCAUUUAAGGCACAUUAAAUAAGAUUUAGGAAAAUAGUGGAAGACUUCAUAAUCAACAACAGUCGCAGAGCCACAAAGAUGCAAAAAUUUUGUUAAUUACCUAUUUGAAUCUUAUGCACAAUAAAUAGAACCUUAAGGUUAGUUUCCCAUUUGAUUUCGUUUCCUUGUUGACUCUUAAUCUCGAUAGAUUACAAUGUUGAAAGCAACUCCAUAGGAUAAAGAAGAGGGCACCAAAUUUCGCCUCUACAAUAAGAUCUCCUUAUCAUGAAACAAUUAGUAUAAUCUCACUCCAAAAAUGGAUGUUGAUUGUUGUACCAAAAGAAGGUUCAAUUUUGACAGUAAUAAAAGAACAUACACAGCUGAUGAAAACGAGAGACAGCUAACUAGCUCGUGCAUGAGAGCGUGCGAAGAGGCUAGCAAUACUGUGCUUGUAAAAAGAGAUGGAUAUCGCGGUCAUGCCAUACAUAUGAUGUCAUAAUUCACACACCGGAUGGUUUUAUUUUAUUUAUUUUAAAAGAUAAGUUCAUACUACAUUAUUUUCAGUACCACAACAACAACAACAACAACAAAGCCUUUUUCCCACUAAGUGGGGUCGGCUAUAUGAAUCCUAGAACGUCAUUGCGCUCGGUUUUGUGUCAUGUCCUCCGUUAGAUCCAAGUACUCUAAGUCUUUUCUUAGGGUCUUCCAAAGUUUUCCUAGGUCUUCCUCUACCCCUUCGGCCUUGAACCUCUAUCCCAUAGUCACAUCUUCGAACCGGCGCGUCAGUAGGCCUUCUUUACGCAUGUCCAAACCACCGUAACCGAUUUUCUCUCAUCUUUCUUUCAAUUUCGGCUACUCUUACUUUACCUCGGAUAUCCAUAUUCCUAAUCUUAUCUUUUCUCGUGUGCCCACACAUCCAAUGAAGCAUCCUCAUCUCCGCUACACCCAUUUUGUGUACGUGUUGAUGUUUCACCGCCUUCAGUGGCCUAUGAUGGUCACACAACACGUCGGAUGCACUCUCCCACUUCAUCCAUCCAGCUUGUAUUCUAUGGUUGAGAUCUCUAUCGAAUUCUCCGUUCUUUUGCAAGAUUUGCUAAUCCCCCGUUGUUUCUUUUUCAUGUUUUUUUUUUUUUUUAGUUACUGACUUUGUUUCUAUUUGUGUCUUUUAUUUUUACUUAUGAUAUUUGAUUUAGUUUUGUUUCCUUGAUUUCAAGUACUAGAGAAGUAAGACAUGGAUUUUGCUACCAUUCAAGCUCAAUUGGCGAAACUUACUUCUCAAUUGUCACAAUAUGCCGAAGGGACCACAAUGCAAAGUGUCCCUACAGAUGGUGUGUCCUAUGGGCAAGGAUAUCCAACUCAUCAAUGUUCUCAAUUCGCUACGAAUGAAGAUGCUUGGGGUUAUCAAGGCCAUAGCCAAUCAAGGGACAACAUGUUUUCCAACGCUUACAAUUCGGAUUGGAGAGAUUAUUUAGAUUACAUGUGUGGAGAACCGCAACAAUUCCAACAAGAUGGAUAUUGGCAGCAAGAAGAGGAGUUCUAUCACUGGUCAUAUGAACAAUCUGCCCAAUUCCAUUCGGGUACAUCUUUGGAUAAUGAUAUGUUUAAUAAGUUACUCACCUCUUUGAACCAGGAUGUAGAAAUCCGAAACAAAGAGGUGCAAAAUCAAGCCAAGAAGACGGGCGAAUUGGAAAAGCAAUUUGGGCAAAUUAUGGAGUUCACGGCACAAAUUCAAGAGCAAAGUGAACUCUCCAACUCAACUGUUGAAAAUUUGAAGGGAGAUUUUGAAAUCCAUGAUGCUAUCACUUUGGGAAGUGCUAUGGAGGUUGGAGGUGAACCCAAGACGUCCAAACUAAGCCAAAACAUGGGUGAACAGCUGCUGCUCGAAGAAGAGGAGAGUAACAAGGCCACUACAAGGAAAGAAUCAAGUAUCACCUUCCAUUUAAGGAUCAAUUCCGUGCUAUGGGCCCUAUUUAAGUUUAGAAGGAAGUUUCGUCCGGUUGAAGGACGUUAAAGUCAGCGCUUCUUGGAAGGCAACCCAUGUAUUCAAAUAAGGAAGAUUUUUGAAUCGCUUCACAAUCAGUUUUGCGUUUCUAAAAACCUUCCAUUUUCUGCAUUUCUAUUUUGCCUUGAUUGUCAUUUUUUUUUAUUUAUUUAUUUAAUUUUUGUUGUUUAUUUAAUUAUUUUUGGGUGUGGGUUUAUUUUUGAAACAUUGACAGAUCUGCAAGGUAUUCUUACAUUCAUUUUCAUGAAAAAAAAAGGAACAUUAAGCAGAAAAUUACACAAACAAGAAGGAGUUUUCAUUGGUCAGGAGGUGUAACAGCAGUUGAAGGAACAUCAGAAAGACGAAGUGUCAGAGCUUGAUUGUCCGGAGCACUUGGUGAAGCACCAGAUGAUGAAGACAGAAGUUGCCUCGGGAGUAAAGCCAUAAACCUUUGAUGAUCACUCCGGGCCCGAACUUCAGCCUCCUGCAGCUGGUCCAACUUCAUCUUCAUGCUCGUUGAGUAACUAGUUGCGAGCAUGUGCAACUCUUUAUUUUCAUGCCUAAGCGUUUUGACCUCUUGCCGAAGGCUAGCCACUUCAGCCAUCAACGACUCAACUUGACGAGAUCGAGCAAGAAGGCGUUGGCCCAUGUUUGAUACUGAGCCUGCACACUAGACGCUGAAAGCUAAAGAAUCAUGAAUAGCCUGCUCAUCAGACCGCUUAGAUAGCAUCCUACUGUCUCGUGGAAUGAGAAGAUUUCUAGCAACCACUGCAGCUGUUGCAUCAUUUCUCAUCACAGUGUCCCCAACUGUAAGAGGACCGUUGGAGGAUAUGAAGGAUGGUUGCCAAAUGUUACCUGGAGAAGAGAGGUCAAUAUCUUCUUCGAUAUUCAAGUCAAUACGACGGUCGGAGGGGCCAGACAUUUUCAGAGGUGUUAAAGAAAGAAGAGGUCAGACAAGUCAAGAUCGUCGAAGUGCAAGAAGGGAGUUUUCACAGGCAGAAAUUCAUAUGUGCUUUGAACAUCCUGCGUACCUCUAUAAAAAACAGCACGCGAUAGGAUUUUAGAGAUCGAAGAGGCGAGUUCAAAGAUCGAAGAAGCGUCUGCUUUCUCCAAAGCUAGGCCUACUCCGGAAUCACGGGCUGAUAUCAGAAAUCGAAGAAGUGUCAGCUUUGUCAGCACUCGUCAGCACCCGUCGCACGCAAACUCAGCUUUGCGAAAAUCACAGAAAAGUUGUCGAAGCAUCGAUCUCAGAUAGCGAAGAUGCGCCUGUCUUUCUCAGCCUCGUCAGCUUUGCGAAAAUCACGGAAAGUUUGUCGAAGCGCCGAUUCCAAACCAUCUGUCUUUCUCAGCCUCGUCAGCUUUGCGAAAAUCACGGAAAGUUUGUCGAAUAGCCGAUUCCAACCGCCUGUCUCUCUCAGCCUCGUCAGCACUUAUCACAUGCAGAGAAAGCUUUGAGGAAAUCACGGGCAAUCUGUCGACGAUUUCUGUUAAAGUAGAAAACACGUGAAGUUUACUGUUUAAUCAUCCAACGAUUGCCGACAGGAGUGAAAGAACAGUACCGGUUAUUAUUUCCUACAAAUGUCGACCUUCACGCUCCAUGACAAGGCAGACAUACAUAACAUUCCGUCAUCUCCGAGAAAUGGCUUUCCAACAAACCCUCUCGACUCACUCAGUGUUCUUUAUCCCAUGGGAUACCUCUGCAAACACAUCUUCAAAAGCAAAAGUAUUUCAUAUCAUGAAGGUAGAAAGCAAGAGUAUCUCAUAUCAUGCAUUCUCCGUGUCCUUUUCCUUGUCUUUGUUCUAACCUGUAGGACAAGGAGAAGGAAAGCAAUCAGCCAGCACUUGGUAUCAAUCUUCUGAUCUGGAACCGACUGCUUGGAACCCCUUCCUGAUUGCUUACAUGGUAUUGCUCUCGAGUACUCGUCUUCCACAGGCAGAUGUGGUAGACGAAGAGGAAGCAUAAGAUGAUAAAGAUGAGUACUCAAGAGUAAGGCUAGGAGAACAGAUAAGGAAAUACAGUAUGCGCAAUCAAUCCAGCAGAAGAAGUCUGAAAUGAAGAACUCGAGAAGCUUCAAUUCAAGAUCAAAGCUGUGGAAAGUCAAAAAAUCACAUCCAGUUGUGAUUCAUAAGUUGUGAAUUCAAUUUACUUAUUCGUUCGUAUAAAAAUUGAUUUGUGUAUAUGCUGCGAUUCAUAAGUUGUGAAUUCAAUUUACUUAUCCGUUCGUAUAAAAACUAAUUUGUGUAUAUGCUUAUGUUUUUCAUAAAACUUAAUGAUUAUUGCUUGUAUCUUUAUUAUGCAAUUCAUGUAGGGAACUUGUAGGGAAUGUUUUGGGUUGUCGUAUGCAAUCAUCCAACUAUAUGAAUCUUAGAACGCCAUUGUGCUCGGUCCUGUGUCAUGUCCUCUGUUAGAUCCAAGUACUCUAAGUCUUUUCUUAGAGUCUCUUCCAAAGUUUUCCUAGGUCUUCCUCUACCCCUUCGGCCCUGAACCUCUGUCCCGUAGUCGCAUCUUCUAACCGGAGCGUCAGUAGGCCUUCUUUGCACAUGUCCAAACCACUGUAACCGAUUUUCUCGCAUCUUUCCUCCAAUUUCGGCUACUCCUACUUUACCUCGGAUAUCCUCAUUCCUAAUCUUAUCCUUUCUCAUGUGCCCACACAUCCAACGCAACAUCCUCAUUUCCGCUACACCCAUUUUGUGUACGUGUUGAUGCUUCACCGCCCAACAUUCUGUGCCAUACAGCAUCGCCGGCCUUAUCGCGGUCCUAUAAAAUUUUCCCUUGAGCUUCAGUGACAUACGGCGGUCACACAACGCCGGAUGCACUAUUCCACUUCAUCCAUCCAGCUUGUAUUCUAUGGUUGAGAUCUCCAUCUAAUUCUCCGUUCUUUUGCAAGAUAGAUCCUAGGUAGCGAAAACGGUCGCUCUUUGGUAUUUCCUGAUCACCGAUCAUCACCCCUAACUCAUUUUGGCCUCCAUUUGCACUGAACUUGCACUCCAUAUAUUCUGUCUUUGAUCGGCUUAGGCGAAGACCUUUAGAUUCCAACACUUCUCUCCAAAGGUUAAGCUUCGCAUUUACCCCUUCUUGAGUUUCAUCUAUCAACACUAUAUCGUCUGCAAAAAGCAUACACCAAGGAAUAUCAUCUUGAAUAUGUCUUGUUAACUCAUCCAUUACCAACGCAAAAAGGUAAGGACUUAAGGAUGAGCCUUGAUGUAAUCCUACAGUUAUGGGGAAGCUUUCGGUUUGUCCUUCAUGAGUUCUUACGGCAGUCUUUACUCCUUCAUACAUAUCCUUUAGAGCUUGGAUAUAUGCUACUCGUACUUCUUUCUCCUCUAAAAUCCUCCAAAGAAUGUCUCUUGGGACCCUAUCAUACGCUUUUUCCAAAUCUAUAAAAACCAUGUGUAAAUCCUUUUUUCCAUCUCUAUAUCUUUCCAUCAAUCUUCGUAAGAGAUAUAUUGCCUCCAUGGUUGAGCGCCCUGGCAUGAACCCAAAUUGGUUGUCCGAAACCCGUGUCUCUUGCCUCAAUCUAUGUUCAAUGACUCUCUCCCAGAGCUUCAUUGUAUGACUCAUUAGCUUAAUACCCCUAUAGUUCAUGCAAUUUUGUACGUCACCCUUAUUCUUGUAAAUAGGCACCAAAGUGCUCUUUCGCCACUCAUUUGGCAUCUUCUUCGUUUUCAAAAUCCUAUUAAAAAGGUCAGUGAGCCAUGUUAUACCUGUCUCUCCCAAGCCUUUCCACACUUCGAUCGGUAUAUCGUCUGGGCCCACUGCUUUUCUAUGCUUCAUCUUCUUCAAAGAAACAAUCACCUUUUCCUUCCUGAUUCGACGAUAAAAUGAGAAGUUUCUACACUCUUCUGAGUUACUCAACUCCCCUAAAGAAGUACUCUUUUCAUGUCCUUCAUUGAAAAGAUUAUGAAAAUAACCCCUCCAUCUGUCUUUGACUGCGUUCUCUGUAGCAAGAACCUUUCCAUCCUUAUCCUUGAUGCACCGCACUUGGUUUAGGUCUCUUGUCUUCUUUUCCCUUAAUCUAGCUAGUUUAUAGAUAUCCAACUCUCCUUCUUUGGUGUCUAAUCGCUUAUACAUAUCGUCAUAAGCCACUAACUUAGCUUCUCUCACAACUUUCUUCGCCUCUUGCUUUGCUUUUCUAUACCUUUCACCAUUUUCAUCGGUCCUAUCCUUGUAUAGGGCUUUACAACAUUCCGUCUUAGCCUUCACCUUUGUUUGUACCUCCUCAUUCCACCACCAAGAUUCCUUUUGGUGUGGAGCAAAGCCCUUGGACUCUCCUAAUACCUCUUUUGCUACUUUUCGGAUACAACUAGCCAUGGAAUCCUACCUCUGGCUAGCGUCCCCCUCUCUAUCCCACACACACUGGGUGAUUACUUUCUCUUUGAAAAUGGCUUGUUUUUCUCCUUUUAGAUUCCACCAUCUAGUCCUUUGGCACUUCCAAGUCUUGUUCUUUUUUCUCACUCUUUUGAUAUGUACAUCCAUCACCAACAAGCGAUGUUGAUUAGCCAAGCUCUCUCCCGGUAUAACUUUGCAAUCCUUACAAGUUUUACGAUCCCCUUUCCUCAUUAGAAGAAAAUCUAUUUGUGUUUUUGACGACCCACUCUUGUAGGUGAUCACAUGUUCUUCUCUCUUCUUAAAGAAGGUGUUGGCUAAAAAGAGAUCGUAUGCCAUUGCAAAAUCCAAGAUAGCUUCCCCAUCCUCGUUUCUCUCCCCAAAACCAUGGCCACCAUGAAAACCGCCAUAGUUGCCUGUCUCCCUGCCCACGUGUCCAUUUAAAUCUCUUCAUAUAAAUAACUUCUCCAUCUGGGCAAUUCCUUGCACCAUGUCUCCAAGGUCUUCCCAAAAUUUCUCUUUCGAACUCGUAUCCAACCCUACUUGAGGUGCGUACGCACUAAUCACAUUGAUGAGUUCUUGUCCUAUUACAAUCUUGAUUGCCAUGAUUCUAUCUCCUACCCUCUUGACAUCUACAACAUCUUGUGUCAGGGUCUUGUCCACGAUGAUGCCAACACCGUUUCUCGUUCUAUUUGUGCCCGAAUACCAAAGUUUAAACCCUGAGUUUUCUAGAUCCUUUGCCUUAAGACCAACCCACUUAGUUUCUUCUAGGCACAUAAUAUUUAUCCUUCUCCUCACCAUAACUUCCACUACUUCCAUAGAUUUUCCCGUUAAGGUUCCUAUAUUCCACGUUCCUAAACGCAUUCUACUCUCUUGAACUCUACCAUUCUGUCCUAGCUUCUUCACCCUCCCUCGUCUAAUAGGAUUAAAGUACUUCUUUUGUGUGUCCUGUGUAAAGUUGAUAGGAGCAUAUGCUCCCAAACAACUUUGAGUGGAGUCGUUCGAAAAGAAGUUUCUAUGGCCCCCUUGCUCAUUUAACACUGCAUCCGGGUGCCGAUGGAGAUACACCCUUGCUCACUUAACACUGUGCUCGGGCCACACAGCGCGCCACAUGCGGCAAGUACAUAAUCUAAAUUGCAGAGCCGUCUCAAUGCAAACUUAAUCCUAAGACGAAAAUAAAAUGAGGUUUUUCUAAUUUAGUAUGUGGUUUUUUUAUAGGCUAGUUAAAUUAUAAAACUUUUCAAUUCAAUCCACCACCAUCUCCACACCAAAGUAAAUUUAACCAUUUAAGGCACAUUAAAUAAGAUUUAGGAAAAUAGUGGAAGACUUCAGAAUCAACAACAGUCGCAGAGCCACAAAGAUGCAAAAAUUUUGUUAAUUACCUAUUUGAAUCUUAUGCACAAUAAAUAGAACCUUAAGGUUAGUUUCCCAUUUGAUUUCGUUUCCUUGUUGACUCUUAAUCUCGACAGAUUACAAUGUUGAAAGCAACUCCAUAGGAUAAAGAAGAGGGCACCAAAUUUCGCCUCUACAAUAAGAUCUCCUUAUCAUGAAACAAUUAGUAUAAUCUCACUCCAAAAAUGGAUGUUGAUUGUUGUACCAAAAGAAGGUUCAAUUUUGACAGUAAUAAAAGAACAUACACAGCUGAUGAAAACGAGAGACAGCCAACUAGCUCGUGCAUGAGAGCGUGCGAAGAGGCUAGCAAUACUGUGCUUGUAAAAAGAGAUGGAUAUCGCGGUCAUGCCAUACAUAUGAUGUCAUAAUUCACACACCGGAUGGUUUUAUUUUAUUUAUUUUAAAAGAUAAGUUCAUACUACAUUAUUUUCAGUACCAGAUGGAUAAAAUUAGACAGCAAUUGCAAAGAGAAACUUUAAUGAUUAAACCCAAAUAUCUGAAGUGCAGUCACCACCAGGAUAUCUCAUUUCAUGGGCUAGGGAAGGACCAUCCGGUUCAGCUCCAAAGUCGACGAAAAAGUUCGGGUUUAAUGCAAGACCACCCUUCUCAGUGUCAACAUCAAGCUGUAGCAUGUGAGAUCCUUUCUCCAGAAGGUCGGGGUAAAAUUGGCGAUCCCAUGUACUGAAAAGGGAGUUGGUGACAUAAAGCCGCUUCCCAUCCAAACUUAACUGGAUCAUCUGAGGUCCACCUCUCAACUUUUUCCCCUGAAUGGAAGACAUGAACUCAUCAAUCAAUGUUAAACAGUAAAACGAAAUUUCCGGCAUGAAAUAUCUUUGAGAACUACUAUCAAGCAUGGCAACUAUGAAUGUACUUAUGCCUCAUAAAAGCUAGAUGUAUCUAUCUUUUUAUACUACAAUCAUGUGGUGAAUGAGACUUGUACAUGAGAAGAAGAUAGAACAUGUGAUGCAUGGGAAAUGCUGCAAAGAGAUGAUAACAUUUCAUGUCAAGGCUAUGCACUAUAAUUCACACCCGCUAUUCACCCCUUACUCGGUUCAAAACUGAAAACCGAGAGAGUUGGUGCGGAAAGACAUUAACCUAGGAUCUUGAGUACAUCUUAUUUUCUUAGCAAUUACACUCUACAUUGGACAGGAGAGUGACUAUAUCAACAAUAUUCUGAUGCCUUUUUUUUUUUUUUGAGAAGAAUAUUCUGAUGCCUUUUAUUAGACAAUAGCAUGUAAAAUGGUGAGCAAAAUUUUGGUACAGGACUGCUAAGAUACAGCAGGCAAACCAACUCUUAAUCCACAGAAAAAAAAGACUUAAAAGUGAUAGUAAGGAAUACUAAUUGAUACCGAAAGUUAUCAGAAGAAGAUCGCACAGACCUGGAUCUCUGGGACGUCAAACUGCUUUGUUGUACCAUCUUCAGCCUCAGCAACAACUGGGCAUCCCUUUUGGAUUAGCCCCCCAACCCAUAUUUGGCCCGUCAGCUUAGGAUUUUUGGGGUCCUCAAUGUUAUACUGUCUCACAUCUCCAUGAAGCCAGUUCACAAAGUAUAGAAAACGAUCAUCAAGUGAGAUCAGAAAAUCAGUUAUAAGCCCAGGCAUCUCCGGAAGAAUCCAGUUCUGCACCUUCAAUGGUUUCACUGAUAUUGCAACCUGGAAAAAUGUAUUAGGAUUUAUUGGGUACUCCGGACCUAGUACUUUAAUUUUUUCCAAAACAUAAAAGAAAAUAAGGAUUCAAAAGACAGUAAGAAUGAAUCGAAUUACCUCAUGGCUCCACGAACCAUCAUCUGUCUUGAAGAAUCGCACCAUGUUACUUGUCAAGGCACACCCAACAAAUCCAGUGUCCUUAGAAGGAUCAUGCAGGAACCUUAUCUGCAAACAGUGAGAUUCAGUUAUAAAACAGAUCCAGAGUCGCCUGAUGUCUUUAUAUAGGAAAAUAAACUGUGAAAACGAGUACUGCUGAAUGUUGAUUAAGUUUAUACAACUCGCCUCCAAGGGUAAGAGUCCUGUAUUUCCAAGAUCCAAUGUUUGUUUCAAUUCACCUUCUGGCCAGCUGUAUACAUGAAGAUGCCUCCCAUACAGUCCAUCCGAGACAUGCUGAGGGUUGAAACCUUUAGUGAAAGCAGCAGGGGCACCCCAUGAUGUGCUUAUCAUUGUCUUGUGUCGCGGCUGGUACCAGAAAUCAUAGCCAAAAAGUGGACUGUGCCCUGGUUUCUCCCACCUGUCAGAUGUUAGGAUAUCUAUAUGUAAUCAAAACUGUGGAAGUGGCAGAUGUCUUCAACCUACCAAGGCUACCAUGCAACCAAGCCCAGAGAAGUGGGGUUCGAUCUCUUUCAAAUGUUUAAUAAGGAUGCACAUAAAUGUUAGGUAUGAUCAAUCUCAUGUUCCAUGUUUAUAUUGUCAACAUAUAAACUCAAAUUUUACGAUAUUGAUGUGUGUGGGAAUCAGUCAAUUCCACAUGGUGUUAUAUGACAGUUUCUUCAAAAUCUACAAUAAAUGAAUUGAGGUUUCCAGCGGAAGGUCAUACCUGCCCUUCACAUUAAACUCAGAGUCAAGGAGAAGAAAUCCAUUUCCUACAGCAUUGCCAUCUUUAUCUCCUAGGCAAGAAACCAGUAGAUCGCCCGAAGCAAGGCAAUGGGAUGUGUGUGGAUAUGCCAAUCCAGUCUUCUGAACAAUAUCUGCAGGGUCAACAACUUUAUGCAAAGAGGGAGCCUUCGGGUUUGUUUUUGUGUCUAUCACAUAUAUACGACCAGAUCUGAAAGAUAAAAUAGGAUUAAUAAGAAGUGCAAUACUUUGGCCUACACAUAUAUACAAGCUUGAAAGACCUCACUCAGAAUCUUACAGAAAAGAGCCGGUAAUGCUUAAGUGAUAUUUAAAGCAUGCAGAACUUGUCAAAUAAUAGGGAGUAGCAAGUAUAUAUAAACAUUAAUUGAUGUCACUUAUAUUACUAUAUGUUCCAUCAAUUCACAACAUUGGUCUCUGUGUAAGAAGAUGCUGAUUUUUUAAACUUUCGGAUAGUUGAUUUUGACACUCCGGUCAGGCCAAACAUGAUGAUCGAAAUGCUUAUGUUUGUUUCGAGGGAAAUUUCAAAACUUCAACCAAGGAUGUCAUUCCUAGACAAACAAUCUUAAAAAUGCUCCAAAUACUUAAUCAGCUAAUGAAAUUCGUAUCUCCUGUACUAUGAGAAAUGGUAAAGAAAUCACAGGUAGCAGAAGACAAAAUGUUCAGUAGAACAGCUUCAACUGCUCGAUUACAUGUAAAGCCUCAGUUUUAGAUGAAAUUAAGCAUAGUGAAUCGCAACAUCAUGAAAAAUAAGUGAUACUCCAAACUAUUUGCGAUCUUUCCUUUCACCAAGGUUGCACCACAUCAACAUACAUCAAUUGUGCUUUUAAUAAACAUUUUCAGAUCGAGGAGGUUCCAGCUUGAAAAUUUUGAUCUGUGCGGAUUCUUCUCAAAUUUCUUUUCGUUUAUCCUUAACCAUUUCAGACUGGCUGCCUAACAAGAAAUUUCACUUGCUUAACUUCAUAAGAACUACUUUUUCAAUUAAGACCAAACAGUAUAACAGUCCAUGCAACAUGAAAUUUAGUAUCUUACAUUAAUGCAGGUAGUACAAGGAAACGCCGUUCUGCAGAUGGAUCUCCAUGGCAAGAGCUGCACGAGUUCCAGCCAGUGUGAUGCAGUUCAUCACCUAAAUGCGGCACGGGCAGCCUGUGGAUUACUUUGGAAUAAGUAGGCGAACUUGGAUCGACAUCAACCGUGGCAAGGUAAUCCGGCUUCUCUAUUCCCGUUCCUAAUUUGCAAUAGCAUUUCGAAGAAUUAACAUCAAUUUUACAUCUUCAUUGCCAAAUGCAAGCAGAAAAACAGUCCAUGUAUAUAAUUCUUUAUAAGCAAUAAUUUAAAGAAACAAUAAAAUUUGUAGAAUUAUCAGAGAAACGGGCCAAAAACCCACUUCCAACAAACACCGAUACUAUCCCAACUUAAUAAUUACCACUUGCCCAAUCCAUUAGGGGUAAGAUUUUAUCAUAAAAGCCACAGUGUUAAUUAGAGUGAAGUUAGAAUAUUUAAACUAUUAAAUUUGCUUUUACUAUAAUCAAACACGCCCUCUCCCAUGAAAUCCAAUUAAUGAGUUCCAUACAUUGACAAUCACGUGGAACAAGGCACGCCGAGCCAAGGGACCAAAGGACCCACCAUCAUCGCCACGUGGAGCCAAGGCAUGUGGGGCCAAGGGAUCCAAGGACCCACAAUCAUUGCCUUUAUAGAAUUAUUAAAGAGACGGAUCAAAGACUCACCUCUAACAACAUCGAUAUUAUCGUCAACUUGAUAAUUACCAUUUGUCUAAUUCAUUAGGUGAAAGGUUUUAUCACAAAAAACAUCAAUAUUAGUUAAAAUGAAAUUAGAAUAUUUAAACUUAUUACUUUUCUUUUACUAUGUCGAUGUGGGAUUCAACAAAAUUAAGGAGAUAAAGUUCAUAAAUCCCUUCAAAGUUCAAAUCUUUUACUUGUAACCUAACCAAUUUAAGAUUUUACUAUAAAUUCAGAAAAAAAAAAAACAGAGAACAAAUUAAAAAUUAAAAACCCAAAUCACAGAAGAUAAUUUGUUUGUUAAUUUUAUUUUAUGCAAGAUGUAUGUACAACGAGGGUGGGGGAGUAAGUUUCUACCCAUGAUUCAACGGAGAAGAAAUGAAGGCUUGAAUAUUUGUGAUGAGGGAAAAAGUGCAAUCGGGUACCUGAGUAAACGGCAGUUACAUAGAUGAGAGCCUCUCUCGGACCAGCCAUGGCGUCGAGCGGGGUGGCGUACCCGGGCCCACUUUUGCAGCACGCUCCUCCAUUGCCCAGGCUCUUCCCUACCGUUCCGUGUUGCAGCACCGCCACGUCCGUUGCCAUCUCUCUCUCUCUCUCUCUAAAACGCGCGCUUUCUCUGUCUCUCUCUCUGGCUCUGAUCAGAUGAAGAAGAUGAACAGAAUAAUCACGGAGUGAACAAAGCCAUUGGGAUGGGCAAAAUACAUAUACAACUCUUCUGAUGACGUGGCAGAGUUCAAUAAGCCGGUUUUAUCUGUAUGUGGUCUACAUUUUUGUCUUGAUGCGCAUGGUAUACAUCUCUUUGAUGACGUGGCAGAGUUCUAUAAACCGGUUUUAUCUGUAUGUGGUCCACAUUUUUGUCUUGAUGCGCAUGGUAUUUCACGGAAAUGGAUUUUCUUCUAAUUCAUUCAUUCUAAUUUACUAAAUUAGAGGAUUCGUAUAGUUGAAAAUUAAUCUAACGAUUUAAGUUAUUAUAACUUUUAAAAUAAGUUUUUAUUUGUAGCUGUUUGAUCAAAUUUCAAUGAUACGAAUCCUUUAAUUUGGUGAAUUAGGAGAAAGAGAUCCGACGAGGAUCCCUUUUCCGUAUUUCACUGCCCAGUUUCGAUUAGUACGGUAACAACCACACCACGUGUCAUAAGAGAAUUGGAUAGAGAAUAAUAACCACAUGAGUAUUCUACUACUCUGUACCAUGGAUUUAAAUAUCGAUAUUAUCGGCGAAAUAUCGCCGAUAAUAUCGAUUUUUCGGGUAAUGGAUAUUUAAACUGGUUUCCGUGUAGUUUUCGUCCAAAUAUCGUGAUAUUAUCGAUAUUAUCGAUAAUAUCGCGAUAUUUUGGAAAUAUCGAGAAAUUUCGUUGAAUGGUGCAAUCGGAUUCCGAUAUCGGACGCCGGAGAAGAACGCCGGAGAUGGUGUGCCUGUUCCCGAGCCCAUUUCGUCCCAAAAACCUUGCAAAAACACGAAUUUUAACUUAAAUUUCACAUAUAUACUCCAAAUUUCACGCAUGCAUCAACGAUUCAACAUAUGUGAUAUCGGUUUAGGGCUUAGGGUUUCAAUGGAAUCUCACCUGAAAUAUCGAUGACUGGGCCAACUCCUUGCUCAGCGGCGCACCACCAGAGACGACUGAGGGAGAAGAAGAAGGAUGGAGAGACUGAGGGAGAAGGAUGGACGGAGAGACUGAGGGAGAAGGAUCGAGAUCGAGGCUGAAGGAGAAGGAUAGACGGACGGAGAGACUGAGGGAGAGAAGGAUCGAGAUCGAGGCUGAGGGAGAAGGAUGGACGGACGACGGAGAGACUGAGGGAGAGAAGGAGAGACUGCGUGUGUGGUGUGUGCGUGUGUGGUCUGUGCGUGUUUUGCAGAGAAUAAGAGACUGAGGGAGAGAAGCAGAGAAAGGGAGAGCCUGGGAAAGUGGAGAGAAAGAGAGGACUGAGAGAGAAGAUAGAUGUGAAGGAUGGGGAAUCGGGAUGGAGGGGAGGUCACACCACACACGUGGUGCUGAAAUGGGGAAGCAUGCUGCACCUUCAAAGUUUCAAUUUCAACCACCCACCCAACCAUGAUUUUUACUUUUAAUUUUAAAAAGUUAAAUAUAACCAUUCAAAAUAUCUUAAGUUAUAUGACUUAAUGUAUUUUUAAAUUAUAGAUUUGUUGGAUAUUCUUUUUACAUUUUAUCAUUCGAUUUAUUUGUGGGCUAACGAGGGAAACCAAACUAGCACAUAUGAACAAUAAUUAGUAAUUUAUUUAGAGUUUUAAUACUCACAUCCUUAUUAAACUCCUAAUUAAUUUUCAAUUCAAACAUUUCAAAUAUAUAAAAAAUAAGAAUAAGAAUAAGUUUGUACCCAUUAAUUUUUAUAAAAAAAAAUUGAUAUGUACCCGUUAUAAGAAUAAGUCACUCAUGUAUCUUACCAUGCAAUAUAUAAAGUGUAAAAUAUUGUACUAAUUCAUUAUAUAUAAAUGAUUAUGGUGUGUUUAAACUUCUUUCAUUAAUUACUACAUAUAUAAAUGAUUAAUUACUACAUAUUUUCUACACUCACAAUGUUUGUCAGCUCGCUAUAUAAUCAACUUGAUAAUGUUAAAUCCAUCAUGCAAUGCAUUUCCUUCCAAUUUUUGUGAUAAACUAAUAGAUAAUUGACUAAAUAAACAUCCUGCAAAGUUUCAAUAAAAAUUUCCAAGUUUUUCUUACAAUUUCCGUGGUUUCCAUGUAAUUUUUAUCGAUAUCGAUAUUUUAUCGAUAUUUCCGUCGAUAUUUCCGUGUUUUCGGACUACCGAUAUUUCCGAUAUUACCUGUUUGUACCAUACUUGACCAAUCCCGAAACUACCGAGCACCGGCCAACGCUAUACUGUCAAGGACCCAGAAGAGUUCCCCUCCGACCAGGAGGCCAAUCACUACUCGACACGUGUCAAGAUUAGAAGCCAAUCAGAGCGCAGCACGUGUCGACAUCAAGAACCAAUCAUAACAUGACACAUGUCAAUGUGACAAAGCUACAAGUUUUUCUAUAAAUAGGGGUCAUUCCCCCACAAUAUUGCCUAAUGCCAUUUGUGUUAAAUCAUUCAUAAGAACUCACUAAAUUGAGAGCUUGAUCCUUUGUACUUGUGUAAGCCCUUCACUACUAAUAAGAACUCCUCUACUCCGUGGACGUAGCCAAUCUGGGUGAACCACGUACAUCCUGUGUUUGCUUCUCUGUCUCUAUUCAUUUACGUACUUAUCCUCACUAGUGACCGAAGCAACCAAGCGAAGGUCAUAAAACUUGACACUUUCUGUUGUACCAAAGUCUUCGCUGAUUUUGUGCAUCAACAUUUGGCGCCGUCUGUGGGAAACGACACUUAUUCCUACUCUCUUCAGCUGUGUCAAGCUGGUUUCUAUCAUUCGUACACUUUCUUUUGAUCAGGCAUCCCUCUCCAGCAUGGGAAGCGAAGGAAGCCACAGCACACAGAAUGACACCCCCCCCUUGCACAUAGUGCGAAACAACGAAAGAAGGAAGGAAAACGAGUUCUUCUUCAAGCUAAAGUCAAUGAGUUGGAAGCUCAGAACAACAAGAUAGCAAUGAGGAAUGAGGUCCUCCAGGAGCAAUAUGAGAAGCUCUUCGAGACACUUCACGAAGCUAGGCAAGCUCAGACACGCGAGCUUGUUGCCCCCGUGGAAGUCAACCAUCAACUGGGUGCCCUCCAACAUGGAGGGUCACAUGCAUUCGACAUAGAUAUCCCUGAUAGGGAACAAAUUACCCCUCGAUUUGAUAAUCAACAUGAGGCUUCUCUUAACCCAGUUGCUUCGACCCGAACCAUGAGAAGCGGAGGGAGACACCUCUUUGCUGAAGGGGCAGAAGGAUCGAAAGCCGUCUUUCGCGAUUGUCGGGAUUUCCUGAAGCAACGUCGAGAGAAUUCCAUCCAUAUAAGCUCAAAGAUCAAUGACCCAAGGAUUUCUGAGAGACUCGGUCCCCUGCCACGGCCCGAGCCGGCCACCAACUUGGGGAAGGUGCAACAAGUCCUAGAGAGACAUGAGGGUACAGGGGACUCAGAGGUGUUCCGACAGACAUACCCUGGAAGCCAGUACAGCGAGUCCAGGGAAAAAUCACAUGCCCUUGAUCAAACCUUCCUAAUUCCAAGAGGAGAUGGAGAUUUACGAAAGAAAGCUCCAGUGGCACAUAACUCCGUUCAGGACCCUCUUGUCCUACAACUUCUUGAGGAAGUAAACAAGUUGAAGGCUGAACGUCAGGCUGAAAUACCUGACUGGAACCAACCCAGGCCUGGCCCUCUUACAAGGAGGAUCCUCAACACCCCCCUUCAAGCAAAGACAAAGCAGAAGCUUGGCUUGCAACUUUAUACUGGAAAAGAGGACCCGAUUGAGCACCUUAACCUCUUUGAGUCCACCAUGGCAUACCGGAUGCACACCGACGAAGAACGAUGUCUUCUCUUCCCCUCCACCCUCUCUGGCGGAGCUCUAAAUUGGUAUUGUCGUCUUACACCUGAGACGGUAGACUCAUUUGAGGAAUUGAGGAAACUAUUUGUUUCCCAACACAUUUUCCAAACCGAUCGCUUGCACUCUGCAGAUGACCUGUACACUAUCCGCCAGAGGCCAGACGAGUCAUUACGUAUGUAUGCUGGCCGCUUCAGCCAUGAAUACUCCCGGUGUGCCGAGGCAGACGACAAGACUGCCCUCAAAGCCUUCACGGCAGGCCUACGUGAUUGUUUCUUUUAAAUACAUGAUCAAUGCCAAUACUUGGAAGACUUACUCUGAGGUGAUGGCGCAGGCUUAUAACCAUGCCUCCGCCGAGGCAAAGACAUAUCAGGAGAAACCCCCUCACCCAACGCCAUGGAGGAAGAACUAGCAAUAGCUAAAGUUUGACGGUUGGGAAGAUCAUCCAAUGUUUCUCUAGUACAGGACUCUAACAAAGACCCCGAAGACUCCGACAUUGCAGACUCAGACUUAGAGCUAAAGCUAGAAGAGCCCUCAUCACUAGAACUUCCAGGCUCUGACAUCUACAAUAAGAAGAAACAAAUUCUAUCACUACAUGCAUGAUCAAAACCGUGUCAAGCGCCAAAAAAAAAAAAAAAAAAAAAACAGCUUCACCCGAAAAGCUUCACCUCCAAAACUUCACCCAAAAAGCUUCAUCCAAAAAGUUUCACCCAAAAAGCUUCACCUAAAAAAGCUUCACCCAAAAAAAAAAAAAAAACUUCACCUCCAAAAAGCUUCACCCAAACAGCUUCACCUAAAAAAGCUUCACCCACAAAGCUUCACCUAAACAGCUUUCCCCACAAAGCUUCACCCAAAAAGCUUCACCCACAAAACUUCACCCAAAAAGCUUCAUCCAAAAAGUUUCACCCAAAAAGCUUCACCUAAAAAAGCUUCACCCAAAAAAAAAAAAAAAAAAAAAAACUUCAAACUUCAAAAAAGCUUCACAAAAAAAGCUUCACCCAAACAGUUUCACCUAAAAAAGCUUCACCCACAAAGCUUCACCUAAAAAGCUUCACCCAAACAGCUUCACCUAAAAAAGCUUCACCCACAAAAGCUUCACCUAAAAAAGCUUCACCCACAAAGCUUCACCCAAAAAACUUCACCCGAAAAGCUUCACUUAAAAAAGCUUCACCUACACAGCUUCACCUAAAAAAGCUUCACCUAGAAAGCUCCCUCUACAUACUUUCACCUACAAAGCUUCACCAUCAAAGCUUCACCUCGAAAGCUUCAUCUACAAAGCUUCAACACAAAACCUUGCUCCAAAUAAACAAAUUUUGUUCACAAAACCCAAGAUGCCCUUGAACUUGUACAAAAACACUUGGGUAAACAUAAACAUUUUUUGUUUUACACCCACAAGGGCCCAAAAUUUUCCUUCUUAUUUAUUCACUUAUAUAUGUUCCCAAACAUAUUAUAAUAGAUCCAACAACAAGCCAAAGUCCCAAGUUUCAUAAUGGACAAAAGUACAAGCAAUUCAUCAAUAAUGAAGGUGCUACAAAACUUGGAAUCUGCCCCAAAAUAGAAAUCCAACCAAAGAGACUUUUUCUCUCUCUCCCUCUUUCGCCUCCUUUCAUCUAUCAAAUUUCUGCAACUUCUGCUCUUCUCCAAUGGAGCUGAAUUUUGAACACCCUAUAGUUUUUGAGCAUAUGAACAACUUUCAAGAAGGAACCAUUUCUGUUUGAGCGACGGAAAUUAAAGUGUUGAAGCUCCAAACAUGACAGUCGGAUUCUUGCAAAUUUCGAAGCUGCUAUGAUGUUUCGAAGAUCUGGAAAUAUUUAACCAUUAGUUCAUUCUGAAUUUUUGAUAUGUUAUGAAAGAGACGAUGAGGCACAACUUCAAUGAAGAAAGCAUGCUGAUCUGAACAAUAGAAAAUGGAGUUUCGAAGCUCACAACAAAUCUGACGGGUUGACAGAAAAAUAAUAACCAGUCAUUCAUCAUACCUAAAUUUCUUGAGUUAUACAGCUCCGAGGGAUCUCAAAUUUGGAUAUGUUGUAGUUCAUAAGCUGAGGAACAACUUCAAUGAAGAAAGCAUGCUGAUCUGAGCAAGAGAAAAUAGAGUUUCAAAGCUCACAACAAAUCUGACGGGUUGACAGAUAAAUGAUAAACAGUCACUCAUCAUACCUGGAUUUCUGGAGUUAUACUGCUCCGAGGGACCUCAAAUUUGGAUAUGUUGUAGUUCACAAGUUAAGGAACAACUUCGAUGAAGAAAGUAUGUUGAGAUGAACAAGAAAAAAUGGAGUUUAGAAGCUCACAACAAGUCUGACGGGUUAACAGAAAAUUGAUGAACAGUUACUCAUCAUACCUGAAUUUCUGGAGUUGUACUACUCCGAUGGAUCUCAAAUUUGGAGAUGUUGUAUAGUUCACAAGAUAAGGAACAACUUUCAUGAAGACGACUUUGCGAUCUGAGCUAUAGAGAAUGGUGUUAUCUUGCAUCCACUCAGGCUGAUUAGUGGAAACGAAAAGCAAUUCCACCAAAGAAAAAGAUGAAAAAGAGAGAAAAGCUACUAAUUGCACUUGAUCUUGUCUAGUCAAUAGCAUGCAGCAUCAAACACACAAAAGUUGGAAAUAUUUUUAGACAAGGCAUAUGCGAAUGUGUGACAUCGAAACAAGGAUUCGUUACUUUGACAAAUUAGUAACAAGCGAGACACCUCAUUCGGCAACUCUCUUCGCCUAAAGACUUGGGGGACUCCCACCAUAUGCUACUGCACCUUAAUACUCGGCAGUCUCACAACCACUCAGUGACUUGGAUUUUUCAAGUCUCCAACCGAGAAGUUUUCCUCACUCGGGAAAUUAAGGGAACACUACCUCAAACUACAUGCUUCACUCACAAAGCUUCAACAAUACAGGUUUCAACAAAAGCAAAAAUUCAAAGAACUUUAUGAAGAAGGCUUUGGUGUAUUUAACACAAUAUAUUGAAAUGAAGCAAAGCUUAUUUAUUAAUAUUUUCGAUAAGCCACAAAUAUGUACAUAUACAUGAGUCAAAAUAAAACAAACAAAAGGGAGCCUUCACAAAGGUUGCUUAGGGGAAGUCUCAGCAGUCGGUAGAGCCCCAGAAAGAGAAAGCACCGGAGGGUGGUUAUCCGGAGCCUCAGUACUUGACAAAACCCCAGAAGGAGGAGGCAUUGGAGGUUCAUCAUUUGAAGCUUCAUUACCAGGUACAGCCCCAGAGGACGAAUGCAAUAAAUGCCUUUGGAACAAACCCACAAACCGCUGAUGAUCAAGUAAAACCUUACCAUCAGAUUCCUUCAUCUGGUCAAGCUUCCUCUUCAUGUUUGUAGCAUAGUCAUGGGCGAGCCGGUGCAACUGCUUAUUCUCAUGCUUGAGCCCUCUAAUCUCCUGUUUGAGACUCAUCACUUCAGCAGCCAAUGAUUCAACUUGGCGGGUUCUAGCAAAUAGGCGUUGGGCCAUAUUAGACACAGAACCUGCACACUGAACACUAAGAGCCAGAGAGUCCUUAACAGCCAACUCAUCAGACCGUUUGGAAAGUAGUCUGUUAUCUUUGGGAGUGAGAAGGUUCUUGGCCACCACUGCAGCGGUCAUAUCAUUCUUCAUCACAGAAUCCCCAACGGUAAGAGGACCAGUAGGGGAUAUGAAGGAUGGGCGCCAUAUGUUGUCUGGAGAAGGCGUGGCUGUCUCUUUUCCAAGGUUCAGGUCAAAACGACGGUCGGAGGGUCCAGACAUUUUCAAAUGUGUUGAAGAAGGAAGAGGUCAGACAAAUCAAGAUCUUAGAAGUGCAAGAAAUGAGCUUCUACUGGUAGAGAUUCAGGUGUGCUGUGGAACUUAAUGCCAGCCUCUAUAAAAAUCUGCACUCGACGGAGCUUCAGAAAUCGAAGAGGCGUUUGCUUUCUCAAAAGCUGGGCUGCUCAGAGACCACGAGGGCCGAUCUCAGAAAUCGAAGAGGCGUUUGCUUUCUCAAAAGCUGGGCUGCUCAGAGAGACCACGAGGGCCGAUCUCAGAAAUCGAAGAAGCACCUGCUUUUUCAGCCUCGUCAGCACCUGUCACAUGCACACUCAGCUUUGCGGAAAUUACGGGCAAUCUGUCGAAGAUUUUCUGGUGAAGUAGAAAAGCACGUGAAUCUUACUGUUCAAUCACCGCUCUCCAUAUGCACCAUCAACUCCUCGGGUACCACAUAUAACUUUAUCAAAGAUCUCUGACAAAGUUUAGGCACGAGAAUUUCGAAGUUCCAGCUACCCUACUAUUACCCAUAAGGGUAAAGGAACAGCACCACUGCUUGACAACUGGAAAGUCCCUAUGUGUGUCGACCUCCGUGUUUUGCGGCAAGACAGGUUGGCAAGAACGUCCAACCUUUACUCACAUUCGAGAAAAGACUCCCAACAUAAUUACUUUCUCAAAAACCGGAGUAGCACCGCUUUCCGAAUCUCGAGAGUCAGAUCCUCGACGGGAUUGCUUGUUCGAAAAACCGAAGAGGCACAACUCUCAGAACUUCGAGAGCCAGAUUUCCUUAGAUAAAGCUUGUCUGUAAUCUUCACACGUAACAUCAGCUUUCCAGAUACCACAUACCACUUUUUCAAAGUGCUCUGACAAAAUUAAAACACGUGAAGCUGGCAGCUCCCACUACAUUGCUGUGACCAAGAAGGGUAAAGGAAUAGCAUUACUACUUGUUAUUGGGAAAUCCCUAUAUACAUUGACCUCCCUCCUCAACGGACAGGCAAACCUGCAAAAAUGCUCAACCCUUUCUCGCAUUCGAAAAGGCACCCUCAACAUAACCUUUCGAAAUACUCAGCUUUAUUUCCCCCCGAUAAUACCUCAGCAAAUAAGCCACACCAAGAACAAGAGUAUCUCAUAUCAUCAGGGUCGAAAGCAAGAGUAUCCCAUAUCAUGCUUUUCUCCCUAUCUUUGUCUUUGUCCUUGUCCACACCUGCAGGACAAGGAGAAAGAGAGCAGUCAGUCGGAACCUGAAAUCAAACCUCCAAUUUGGAACUGAAUUUGGAACUGACUGCCUGGAGCCUCUUGCCUGGUUGCUUACUUAGCAUUGCUCUCGAGUACUCAUCCUCAACUGAUGUCAAGGUCACGAAUUCCACCGGCAAAUACCUCAUGACAGUUGAUCAGAUAUUGGCUCUUUACACUGAAGCUGCCAAGCGUGGAUGAGUCACUAUGAAGGAAUGUUCUGAAUGACCAUUUAAAUGCAAAGGUUGCACACCACUUCUGCCAUGCAAAAGAUUGAAGCAGAAGGUUCAACGGUGAGCUGAAACAGAUCACUACAGCACGACACAUUUCCAUACCACAUUCAUUAUUCCGUCAACAGCAAAAGUAUCCCAUAUCAUCAAGGUCGAACGUACUCUAGAUUUGAUGGACUUGUUUUUGACCCUCAAAUUUUUGAGUCGGCCUUAUACUCUGAAGGGCACCAGAAAACCCUCCAGCACAGUUCAAGAAUAAGCCUGUGGAAAGUUACUUCUUCAAAAGCAAAAGUAUCUCAUAUCAUCUCUUAUCCAUUUGCUUCUCCUUAUCCUGGCAGUUGAAUGAGAGACAAGGAGAAGGAGAACAAUCAACCGGAAGCCGAAGUCAAACCUCUGAUCCUGGGUUGCUUACUUGGAAGUUUUGACUGCUUACCUUGUCUGUCACCUCUUUCGGCAGAUCUCCUAGCUCGGCAACUUGGGGGACUUCUACUAUAGGGUUUGUAUCACACUUGACUAAGCCCGAAACUACAACUAAGCUUCAAGUGAAAUUGAUACAUUACCUUGUGCGUCAACAUCAGCUAAAUACACCAUUCCCGGAUGGAGGAAAGGUACUUCCAGAGAAGGGCAGAUGAAGAUCAGACCACACUUCGGUACUUAGAAGUUUCGUGAUUACUCAAGGGAUUGGAUCUUGCAAGUCCCCAACCGAGGAGUUUUCCUCACUCGGGAACUUAGGGGAGCACUGUUUGUGUACCAUACUUGACCAAUCCCGAAACUACCGAGCACCGGCCAACGCUAUACUGUCAAGGACCCAGAAGAGUUCCCCUCCGACUAGGAGGCCAAUCACUACUCGACACGUGUCAAGAUUAGAAGCCAAUCAGAGCGCAGCACGUGUCGACAUCAAGAACCAAUCAUAACAUGACACAUGUCAAUGUGACAAAGCUACAAGUUUUUCUAUAAAUAGGGGUCAUUCCCCCACAAUAUUGCCUAAUGCCAUUUGUGUUAAAUCAUUCACAAGAACUCACUAAAUUGAGAGCUUGAUCCUUUGUACUUGUGUAAGCCCUUCACUACUAAUAAGAACUCCUCUACUCCGUGGACGUAGCCAAUCUGGGUGAACCACGUACAUCCUGUGUUUGCUUCUCUGUCUCUAUUCAUUUACGUACUUAUCCUCACUAGUGACCGAAGCAACCAAGCGAAGGUCAUAAAAUCUGACACUUUCUGUUGUACCAAAGUCUUCGCUGAUUUUGUGCAUCAACAUUACCGAUAUUUAAUACCUUGCUCUGUACUCAUAUCAAAUAAAUUGUUUACCAUAAUAGUCACAUUGAAAUAAAUAUUUGUUACAUAUACAAGAGGUAAAUCACUUUUGUUGUCAAUUCUCUUAGGGUGCGUUUGGUACGUGGGACGGGACGGGACGGAACGGGACGAGGUGUUCCGUCCCGCGUUUGGUGCGCCAAAAAUGGGUGGAACGGGCUGUUUCACGGGACAGAUUUUGGAUGUUUUUGCGUCCCACCUCCCCCUUGGAACGGGUUUGUUCCACGUCUGUGGAACACAAUGUUUUACCAUUUUAAGACAAAUAUACCCCAUGUCUUUUUCAAAAAUUACACCUUCGUUCCGUCCCGUCCCGUCCCGUUCCGUCCCGUCCCGUCCGAUCCCGUUCCGUUCCGUCUGCGUACCAAACGCACCCUUAAGGCUCGUUAGUAAAAACUUUUAAAAGUAUUUUUAAUUAUUUUAAAAAUAUUUUUAAACGAGUAUUUAAAAUUAUCCAAAUAAUUAUGAGAUGAAUUAGUGACAAGAGUACAUGUCGUGGGACAAAGAUUGUCUGCCCUCCUUGUUCCCGUGCUCUCCCGUGCCUUCCUGUUUUGUGUGGUCACGGUUAAGCCACGUCAACAUUUUAUAUUAUUUUUUAUAGAGAUAAUAAGACAAAAAUAAAUAGUAAUAUAAAAUGUUGACAUGGCUUAACCGUGACCAUACAAAAGCAUGAGAGGAUACGAACAAGAAGACAGACAAUCCUUGUCCCAUGCCGUGUGCAUGACCAAAUUGCGUACUUGGAAAAGUAAAAGCCAGACUUUGGUUACAACGAGAUUUGUUGUUAUGUCAAGGAGUCAACGAGUGUGUUGUGUUAGGGUAUUGGGAAUUUUGACGAACUUGGUGGAGGGGAUGGGUGGUAUGAAGAUAAGAUAACAACGUGAGAACGGAAUUGGAUUGUAAAAUUAGUUAAGUACGAAUUUUAUGGCCCGUUUGGUACCCUACCGAAAAUAAUUUUCUCUUAAGAACAGUUUUUCAUAAAAUUUAAAAACUUGUUUGGUAUAACACAAAAUUGUUUUGAAGUGUUCACAAGUUCUUUUCAAAAGAAAAACAUAGCUCUCUGCCCAGCAACUCCUUAUUGGAUCCGGAGAAGGGAGAUCGAGACCUGAAGAGAUGAGAUAAGAGAGAAAGAUAGAAGGGAGAGAGAGAUAGAAGCGAUUGGAAGAUAUCGCAGGGGUCUUUGCUGCCGAAUCUCUUCAUAAGAAAGAGAGGGAGAAAAGGGAGAGAGAGAGACGAGACACAGGAGAGAGGAUGAAGAAAAAAUGAUCUAGAAAGAAAGAGGAUAAGACUGGGGCCUUUAGUUUUAAAAAUUUUAAAAACAGACUUUUUAUGUUUUCAUGAAGUAAGCUAUAUUUUCAAAUUAGUUUUAAAUUCAUCUUCGCUUGUAAGGGAGAUGUUUUAGAUUCGAUUAUCGUCAAAAAAGAAUUUGAAUCACAUUAUUAUUAGCCUAUUGUGAGGUUAAGUCUUAGCGUACCCCUCCUUCCCUUUUAGCGUAUCAUUUGUUAAAAAAAAUUUAGUUUUUCAAAAUAGUCUUACCAAACAAAAAUUUUAGGCUUAGACUCAAAAAUUGCUUUUCAAAAUAAUUCUACCAAACAAAAUUUUUUGGUUUGAGACUCAAAUACUAAUUUUGAGUUAAAAAAAGAAAGAUUUAAUUUGAAUAUCACACAGACUCUUAUAAGCCACACAUCGCAAAUUCAAAUCUCGAAAUCCGAAGUCAACAGAUCUAGAGAUCUGAACGAAUUGCACGAAGGUGAUGUGGAGUGUAUGAAGAUAGGGAAUAUGAUCCUCUUCGGAUCCUCUUUGUAGGGAUCCGGAUGAUCAAUUAAUCGUGUCCGUUUAUCGUAUGUUGUGUGGUUAUAAAUUAUUUUAAAAUUUUAAUUUUAAAUUAAAUAUAAAUAAUAUCUAACGAAAUUAACCGCAAGAUAUACGAUGAACGGACACGAUUGAUUGAUUUUCAAUUACCACAAAGAGGAUCCGUCCUUAUCCUGAAGAUAGGACCGAAGUGGGACUGGGAUUGCAUUAGAAAAUUUGUUAAGCCUUCCGACUAUUCUUAUUUUAUUAAGCACCAGAUAACCACACAUCUCAAAGUCCUAGCUGUGAAGAUCACACUGUCCAAAAAAUAAGAAAAAGAUGAUGCUAAGGCCCAUGUUCCAUAAAUUAAGAUCGCUAUGUCGAAAAUAUUAAAAUGAUGCAAAAGCAAAUGAUUCAUAAAUUACAAGAAAAACUAAUGAAAACAACUUAAAAACUUUGAGUUUUAACGAUAAAUAUAAAAUAAAGGUAAAGUAAAUAGUACAAAGAUUGAUUUUUUAGUGUAAAAAUGUGAUUUUUCGUUAAAGUGAACCGUACCGAAAAUUUUUCGUCAAAGUUCCCUAAAUUAUAAUUUGUUGCAAUUAGGUCUUCCAUCUAACUCUGCCUAAAUAUUCUAAAUUUCACUCAUAAUACUAGUUUACAUGAAAUUCAACGAAAGACCUACAUUGCAAUAAAAUAACGCUAGCACUUACUAAUAAAUGAUGUCAUUCCCGACUCGCAAAGUGAAGCCCUUGAAUUUUAGGCACGUAGGGUUCUGAGGUUGAAUCGUGUGGAUUCACCAGGCACCCAUCUAUUAAUUGGUUCAUUACAUAAAUAGUAAGAGUAAUGUUAUUAAUCCUUCAAAAAUUUUAUUGUGCACUGUAUUUUUCUUUCCAAAUAUAAAAAAAUUAGAGUGCACAAAAUUAUUUCAGAGUGCCAAUAACAAUACUCAAUAACAAGACAAACUAUUUUUUCCUCAUAAACGCUCUUCUUUUUCAUUGAAUUAAAAAAAUAAAACCAAAACAACGGUCAAAAUUAAACACGAGUAUAGAAGGAGGAAAAAAGUAUGUGAUUAUCGUCCCUUAAAAUCAUGAUUUAGGGGACGCUUAGCAAGUCAAUUUUUCUUUAGAAGUGUAAAACGAGACACAAACCGAAGUUUUGUAUUGAAGUUUUUUUUUUCUGGUACGAUAACCACAGCAAACACCGAACAUGUUCUAAAUUAUAACUCGAAGGCUUUUCAAUUAAGUACUUAAGCAAAAGCGAAAGCAGCU
rnacentral:lncRNA from 1 species